rnacentral:lncRNA from 1 species
CUUAUAGUAGUUCGAGUACCUUUGGCUUAUAACGCCAUACUCGGACGAUCUGGACUUAACGCUCUGAAAGUAGUGGUUUCAACAUACCAUUUAUUAGUUUGAUUUUCGAUGAGAAAUGAAGUCGAAGAGAUGCGUGGAGAUCAGCAACUUAUCCGAUGCUGCUUCAUUGUCUCCACCCAAAAUAAUAAGCCUGAAGACUCUCUGUCUGUCGACAAUUAGACUAAAAAGAGAAUCAGAAAAGGGGUGAACCAACUGAACACUGGUUUCUAUCCCGCUAAAAGAAGAAGAUCUCGAGAAAACGGUCCAAAUUGGAUCGCAACUACCCGACUCAGAGCGGCAACAAUUAAUAAAAUUACUCAGAGCCAACGUCGAUAUUUUUACUUGAUUGACCACCGACAUAUCCGAGAUUCUUUCAGAAGUAAUAACUCACCGACUUAACAUCAACCCGAACGUUAAGCCAGUGAGACAAAAGAAGCAAUCUUUUGCCCCUGAAAGACAAAAGAUCAUUAAUGAAAAAGUCGACAAGCUCCUCGCAACAGGCUUCAUCAGAGAAGCUACAUAUCCCGAUUGGUCCGCCAAUAUGGUAAUGGUGAGAAAAGCCAAUAAAAAAUGAAGAAUCUGCAUCGACUAUAUGGAUUUGAAUGAGGCUUGUCCGAAGGACAGCUUUUCAUUGUCGAAAAUUGAUCAACUGGUUGAUGCGACUUCAGAUCAUCGACUUCUGAGUUUCAUGGAUGCCUUCGUUCGAUAUAAUCAAAUCUGGAUGUACCAGAAAAUGAGGAGCACAUUGCUUUUGUAACUGUAAAGGCAUAUACUGCUACAAAGUAAUAUCUUUCGAUUUGAAAAAUACCAAAUCUACUUAUCAACGGCUCGUCAAUAAGAUCUUUAAAGUCCAGAUUGGAUGAAAUAUGGAGAUGUACGUGGACAACAUGCUGGUGAAUAGUCCUUAAACUUUAGAUCAUGUUCGAAAUCUGGAAGAAGUCUUUGACAUGCUUCGACGACAUUAGAUGAAGUUAAACCCAACCAAGUAUGCAUUUGGGAUAACCUCCAAAAAAUUCUUUGGAUUUCUUGUUUUACAAUGAAGAAUCGAGGUUAAUCUCAAAAAAAUAAAAACCAUCAUCAAUAUGAAGUACCCGAGCUCAAAGAAAGAGAUACAGCAACUCAACGGAAUGAUCGCUACACUCAGUCGAUUUAUUUUUAGAUCGAUCGAGAGAUGCUUGCUAUUCUUCAAAACUUUAUGACAGACAAAAGACUUUUUAUGAUCGGAUGAAUGUCGACAGUCCUUCAAAAAUUUGAAAAAAUACUUAGCUUCUCUACCUUUGCUAACAAAAUUGAAGAUCGGAGAGAUAUUGUAUCUCUAUUUAACGACUUCAAUAGAAGCGGUUAGUUCGGUGCUCGUCCCGGAGGAUGAAAAUCGAAUCCAUCGACCGAUCUACUACACCAGUAAAGUACUUCACAAUAUCAAAGUCCGAUACUCAAGAGCGAAAAAAAUGAUCUACGCUCUAAUCAUAUCGGCCCAACGACUUCGUCCGUACUUUCAAGCACAUCCAAUUAUGAUCUUGACAGAUCAGUCAUUGAAGAUGAUCUUACAUCGACCUGAUACGUCAGGUCAGAUGGCGAAGUAGGCAGUGAAGCUUGACGAGUUCGACAUACAAUAUCGCUCACGAUCGUCCAUGAAGGUGCAAGUUCUGAUCGACUUCGUCAUAGAAUGUACAAUAUCCGAUAAUAAAUCAGAAGAUACAAAUGAUAAUACAAUAAAGCAGGUUACGACUCUCGAAUCCGACCUAAGGUUGACUUAGAUAUCGAUGGAGCAUCUAAUACACAAGGUAGUGGAGCCGGCCUUAUACUCAUAAAUUUCAAAGGGGUAGUCACUAAAUAUGCCCUUCGAUUCAAUUUUAAAGCCUCAAAUAAUCAAACCGAAUAUGAAGUACUCUUAACCGGCUUGAAGAUAGUCAAAGAGCUUGAGAUCGACAGUUUGAAGGUCUUCACCAACUCACAACUGAUUGCUAGACAAGUCAAGGAUGAAUUUGAAGUCUGAAACUCCACUAUGAUGAAGUACCUUCAAAAGGUGAAAGAUACUGCAGCGAGCUUGAAAUAUUUUGAGAUCUUUCAUAUUUUUAGAAUCGAAAAUACUCGGACCGACAUACUUUCACGAUUGGCUACUACCUCUUUCAACUUGUUGGGUCGGACAUUCGUUAAAUGCCUCAAACAGUCGAGUAUCGACAAAGUCGAAAAAGUAUUAUAGCUCAUUAUCGAACCAAGCUAAAUGGAUCCAAUCAUCCAAUACUUGACUGAUAGAAUUCUUUCAAUAGAUCCUUUAGAAGCCAAAUGACUCCGAUGGACGGCCUCUGAAUAUGUAAUAAUGAAUGGUCAUCUCUACAAAAGGUCAUUCUUACUUUCCUUGCUAAAGUGUUUGGGACCUACAGAUGCCGACUAUGCACUUAGAGAAGUACAGGAAGAAAAUUCUGAAAAUCACUUGGGAGGCAAAUCUCUAGUUUAUAAAGUCCUGUGAUAAAAAUACUAUUGGCCCACCAUGAAGAAAGAUGCAGCUGAACUUGUCCAGAGGUUUGAACCAUAUUAAAAGUAUGCAAAUAUACAAUAUCAACCGGCUAGUCAGUUGACAUCGAUUGUAACACCGUGGUCCUUCGCAUAAUUAGAAAUCGACAUACUUGAUCCUUUUCCCCCUACAUCUGGUCAGAAAAAAUUCAUAGUGAUUGCUAUUGACUACUUCACCAAAUGGAUAGAAGUCGAACCUCUGGCCCAAAUCAUCGAAAAUAAAAUGAAAGACUUCAUUCAGAAAUUCAUCAUUUACAGAUUCGAUUUACCGCACACCAUCAUCACCGACAAUGAUCGAUAAUUUGACAAUCAAAAUUUUAAAAAGUUCUGUAUAAAAUUUUAUAUCAUACACAAACUCACGUCAGUCGGCCAUCCACAAUCAAAUAGAGAGAUGGAGGUAACCAACCGAAUAAUCUUGUACGGGCUCAAGAUUCGACUGAAUGAAGCUAAAGACCUCUGGAUAAAAAAAUUAUAUCCGAUCUUACGGACGUACCGAACAACUCCUCGCAUACCGACCGAAGAAUCUCUCUUUAAUUUAACUUAUGGAACAAAAACAAUGAUCCCGCUCGAGAUCGGACUGCCAUCAACAAAGAUGGAACAAUACAGUGAGCCAAGCAAUUCUGAAUGUCGAAGAGCUGACUUAGAUCUCCUUCCAGAACUCUGACAGCAAGCUCAAGUUCGGAUGGCUGCAUAUCGACAAAGAAUAGUCUGGUAUUAUAAUGCAAGAGUCAAGCCGAAGGUCUUCCAACCAAGAGAUUUGGUCUUAAAAAAAAUAGAAAUCUCAAAAUCUUUAGAUCAAGAAAAACUGUCUCUGAAUUGGGAAGGACCUUACAGAAUAUCCGAAACUCUUAGAUCGGAUGCAUAUCGGCUAGAAACCCUCGAAGGGUCGGUAAUUUUUCAAACAUGGAAUGCUGACAAUCUGAAGAUGUAUCACCCAUAAAGUUGUUGAUAUAUAUAUUAUUUGAAAUACAAUACAGAAAUUUCAGAAUCACAAACUUUGAUCAAGUUCUAUCAACGAUCGACUAUAUGUCGGCUUUUAUUGUAAAAGCUGAACUAUCGACUGUACUUCUACAUAGAGUUUAUUUCAUCUUUCACUGUAAAAGCUAGAGAAUCAACUGCUUCGGUGUCAACAAUAUUUUGGUUCUCUUGCAAAAACCAACAUAUCGACCGCAAUCUCAAACCGACAUCAAAUAUACAGGCUUUCACUGCAAAAAUCAUAGUGCCGAUUAUAUCUCGAUUUUCAAUAUCAGCUUUCUACUAUAAAAGCUAACUACAGUCGAAAGACUAAUAUACCGACUUAGUCCUAACUAAGCGAAAUGAAAUGUCAAAACGAUCAAGAUCGGAUUGAAAUUAUAUCGAUAUGGCUACAACCAAUCGAAGGAUAUUCGACUUACCAUCGAUUAUCAAAAGAUCUGACGUACAAACCCAAUCAAGCAUCGGGUACAGGAUAUUCGACUUACCAUCAUUAUCCUAACUUCUAUCAAGUACGUCAAAGACUACGCGACUAACAGAUAUUCUACAAGUUCUACCGAAUGAUUGGAUCAUCGAUUGAUGUACGGUGGCUACUUUACAUUGCAGACAUUGCAGGCUCAAUAUUUCAGACAAAUAGUUCAAACUUAGAAGAACAUGCUUUCAUUCAUUGUCAAAAAGAAGUUACAAAAUUGGAUCAAAAUCCGAUUACAGAUAUUUGGUUACACAAAAAAGAAAGCAAAAUACACUGACUAAGCUUCGUCGCCAUUCUUAUUCCUUUGCUCUAAUGUAGUAUCGACAAUUUGAACAACUUCAGGCACGGUCGGUGCUUCAUCUUAAGUCGGUGCUGCUUCUUCUUUAGCAACUCCAUCUUCCGAUCUUGAAGGGACGAUGCUACUCAAAUCAAGAUUUGGAUAUAAUUUUUCGAUCGCAUCUUGACUUUCUUCAUACCCGAUGCAGUACAAGGCAAAGCCACCUUCGAGGAUUUCUUCUUUGAAUUCUUUCGAACUCCAAAAAUCCUCGAUUGCCCGACUCAAUGCCUCCCUUGCCGACUCCGCUUCCGUCUUUGUCAAAUCAGCAUCGGCUCGAGUAGAGGAUGACUCUUCUUCAACCAGUGCCAACUUUUUCAGGCUGGCCUGAUGACGUCCAUGUUCGGCUUCAAGUUUUUUGAUACAUCCGUCGAAGCCAGUGGAUAAAGUGCUUUUUGCUCUUGACCUGUGACUCAAGAGCGAAAUAGCCUCACGAGCCGACUUGAGCUCGACCUCCGAGGAUGUUAAGUCAUCAGUUAAUCGAAAAACCUCCUCCUGAAGCUUGGCUUCCCGCUCCGCUGCCGACUUAAGUUGUUCGAGUGCAACCGCUUUCUCGGCAUUCGCAGCUGCCACCCUAUUCAUCCACGACUGAUGAAAGUCACUGAACUUUGCGUAAUCGAUUUCUAAAUCGAACAUAUCGUGAAUCAACUACAAACAAAAGAUAAGUCAGAUAAAAAAAAAGAAAAAAAAUUACCCUAAGUAUCAUCGGGUAAAAGGACGAGAACAUCUCGGCCAUUUUUCGACUCUUCUGAUUCUUUCAAUCAACGAGAAGAAGAGUGGCUUGGCACAGUCACUUGGCUAAUGUCGGAUUGGCUAGGGCCGAUUCAUCACCAGGCACUUGAAGGUCGAAGUGAACCGUGUGGCCCUCCAACACUGGAUCUUCCGUCAAAGUCACUGGAGCUUUCUCCGAUCCCUUGUCGGCAGCCCGAUGUUCAAAAGUGAGGGGAAGCUUGAACUCGACUGCGCCCCAGCUGAAGGAGCAAUUGGCGCAGCCACAGAUUGUUCGGAUUCUCCUGCCUCGAUCCGAACCUCCUCAAUUGAUGGAACUACCGACGGUACUUUGAUAGUUUUCCUUGCCGUCCUUUCUUCGAAUGAUGCAACAGGGAGCACUGUCGGGGCCGACAGUGCCAGGAUCGGCUUAGGAAUCGAUGCGGAUGGAGCAUCAGGUUCCUCAGUCGGCGUUGAAGCGAUGACUGGAGUUGGUGUCGUUUGAACUUGCAUCGAAGUUUGAUGCCUCUUCGACGGUCGAGAAGGUCUAGCCUCGGAUGUUGUCCUCUUUUUGACAGUGUGCUGAUGAAUGUCGGCGCUCGAUACUCGCACCUUUGGCUGCAUGGCUGCAAUUAUAAUAGAAGACAGUACAACUCAACAAGUAAAAGAAAAGUAAAGUUUGAAAUAACCGACCGACUAUACUAUACCUAGACAGGCGAUCGAACUAAGGCCGACGUCAUAAAGGACUUGUUCGGUCACAAGCUCCUUUUGCAUUGGGAUCGCUAUAUCUUUCAGCUGAUGGAAGUCCUCCCGAUCGCCGACCUCUACUCAGCUGUUGUCGUUGGGACCGGUUCGUGGAUCGCCCCAACGGAAAGAAAAACUCCAAGGAAGGAUAGAGGAAGCGAAAAAGAAUUGAUUCUUCCAUCCACGAAUUGAUGAUGGAAGAUCGGUAAUAAAAGAAAGACCUUUUCGGAGGUUGAAGAAUAACCAUCCUCGGGCCUUCGGAUGAGGUCGGAGGAUGAAAAAAACUCAAAAAAGAGAAGGACGAGGUUUAGUCUGUAGCAACCGACACAACAAGGCAAAACUAAUUAUCAAUCGGAUCGAGCUUGGUGCCAGCUGAGCCGGGCAAAGUCCGUAGUAAUCCAAAAUAUUUCGGAUAAAUUUUAAAAUUAAAAAUUAAAAAUCUGUCCGAAGAUCUUCGACAUAAAAGGCCACCUGAUCUGAAGGAGUAUUCAUCCGACUAUUGGCCCUGGGGCGAAAAGCUAAAACUGCUCCGAGAUACCAUACUGUUUCCGGAGCCGUUCGACAUUCGACUCUGAAAGUGAAAAAACCUCCUCCUUCAAAUUCGAUUGGGAUUCGUCAGUUGGAUUCUCCGACCGAUCAUCCCGGGAAGGGAAAGUCCUAGCCAUAAGAGACAAGACUUUAAAGAAGAUAGAGAUUCUAAAGGAAAAGGGACUCAAGGAAAGACAGGAACUUGAUCUGAAAAAGAUGAGAAUAACAACCUCAGAUGCUGGGGUGAUCGUCCGACAGAGUUUCAGCACCAAGAAAGACAAAAUGAAAAGUAGAAGUUUGAUUGACAGCGACCCUAUAUAUAUAGGAUCCCUCAACGACCGAGAUGAAGGCGAUCGAAUCAAAGAUUUAUUAGAUGAUGACACAUGACAAUAUCUGGAUCGACUAUUGAUCAGACGGUUCGAUGCACUUGUCCCAGAUCAAGCCACGUCAUCCUAAUUCAUAUGAACAGAUCCGAUCCAAUAACAUUCAGACAUGUGGCACAAAUCUACUUAUCAGAAUCAUAUCGUCCGACAUCGAAUCGACUUUCCGAAAUGAUGUCUGAUACUGACAACUGAUAUCGAAUCGAUCGAUCAGUGUGAUAGUUUAAAAAUGAUCGUACCCUUCAAAAUGACAAAGCAGUCGAUCGUCCAUAUCUCAGAGAAAAUGGCAUCAAAAUUGAAGUUCGAUGUGAUAGAAAUAACUCCCUUCAUCCAAUGUGAUGAACCACGUGACAAUAUACACGUCGGUUCACUUUGGACUUGAGAGUGGGGGGCAACUAUUGGGGUAAACCGAUCGACCCCCGACUUUGAUCAUCACUACUCUGACUGCGCAUCGGUUAAUCAUGCGGUUCCGACUCUUCAUCGAUCGACUGAGCGAACCGCACCGACUUACUGUCGGCUGACCAACUAAUGAUUCGAUUACUAUCAAUCGACAGCAAACGACUUAGACAGUCGGCAUAACAGAACUACUAAUCGACGGUCGCUCAUAGAUUCUACCGACAUAUAGUCGGUUCUACCGAUAUAUGGCCAGUAAUCUGCUCAACAUACCAUAACCGUCACAAACAGUUAUCAACUACGUGUCACGGUUGUUAAAGAGAAUUAACACCCCACUAAUUCCAUAUUUAUGGUCCGAUAAUUUAGUGCCAUAAAAAGUAGGACCACGUGCUCUACGAUUACACCAGAAUCAUCUAUAAAAAGGAGAUAAGUGAACAGUACCGGUAAGCCAUCUCUAGGUCAGAACUCUACUACUUUCUACAUUCAAAAACUACUGUUCACCAACUUUCUUCUCUGACUUAAACAUCGAAAGGUCCCCGUCGGACACCAAUUCAGUCUGUGUGAACGCUGUCUUGCAGGUGCUCGUUAUCGAUGACAAGUGAUGAAGAGUUGGCUGCAACCAGCAAUUUUUGUCCAUUUAUUUGUAAGACUUUCUUCCUCUUUUCCGAGUCUUUCUCUUCUUCUAAAAUGUGGAAUCUCUUUCUCUCCAUGGUUAUAGGCUGUUUCUACUAAUAUAUUGCCUAUGAUCAGGUGAUACACAUUUAGUAAAUUAAUCAUCUAACAAUCUAUAUACACAUCCAAAUAUAUUGAUACAAAAUUUUUAAAAUAUUAUAUUUAUCACAGUACACAUCCAGAUAAUACACACUUAAUAGGUUUGUGCUACAUAUUUUAAAUUUCUGUAACAUAUAUCCAAUGGCAAUCUAACAUACAUCUCUAAGUAAAUCAAUACACAACUAGAUAAAUUAAUAUGAUUUUCAAAAUAUCAUAUUCAUUAGUAUAUGUGCAUAUCAUGACAGACAUUCGAUGGAUUUCUAAUACAUCUAUUUUAAGUUUAUUUGAUAUAAACCUAGUAGCAAUCUAAUACAUACCUACAGAUAAAUUAAUAUAUUGUUUAAAAAAAAUAUUUUUAUCAAUAUAUAGCAUAUAUCCAAGUAAUACAUACCCGAUGAGUUUUUUGAUAUAUACUUGUUUGAUAUAUAUCGAAUAGUGAUCUAAUACAUAUUUUCAAAAAAAUUAAUAUAUAAUUUUAAAAUAUAAUAUUCAUCCGUAUCUAAUCUAUGGCUAUAUGAUAUAUACUUGGGAUGGAUAUCUUCACAAGGGAAAGAUUUAAAUAAGAAAGAUCUCGUAGAUUGAUGGAAAGGAAAGGAUGGCUCGACGAGGAAGAAGAGAGCAAUAUAAUAUAUAUAUAUAUAUAUAUUUUUAAGUCAUGGGAUUGGUGGAAUUCAUUAGAAAAAUCUUAUUCAUUUUGACCCUUCGGUUUCCAUGUUAAAAUAGAUGCAAUAGGGUAUCUGGUAAAAAAAAUCUUUGCAUAUGAUAUUUCCUCAUGCAUGCACUAGAAAAUUUUUGUUUCAAGAUAGCUGCAUGCGACGUUUGACUAUAUUUUUGUUAUCAACCAGAUUCAGGCGCGUUUAAAGACAAUAACAAACAUUGUGUCACAAUCAUCAUUUAUUGUUAUCCUUGUUUAUGUAUUUUCGGCAACAUAUAUCCCUUUAGCAGAUCCGAGUAAAUAAAGAUGUAACUUUUAGUUGGAUUAGAUCCACCAUUGAGCUGGUGGAUCAAUCCAAUCACGAAGAAACACACACGACUGCAUAUGUACCACACCCUUUUUCUUUUUCUCCGAUGUCCAUUGAUCCGACCCAUAACCACGCAAGUGCAGUGGUUAAAUACGUGACUGUGAUUUGCGGAGGGAUUCAAAGAAGCAAUUUGAUCCUCGUUUUACAGCAUUUUUUUUUUCCUUUAAAAUAAAGAAACAGACCUCGCCGCCUUACGUGCGUAAUGCGGCUACUUUCCGUUUGUAUACGGCGUUAUCCACGUUCCAGCAAUAGGAGCGUAAUGGUUUCGCAAAUUCCUGUCGCGCCUUUGCCUUGCACCGGUGGAUACAGCUGGCAGCGGACCCGCAAUGCCCUGCGCUUUUGCGGCCGCUUUCCCUGUACGAACGAGGGCAAACCCCAGUGGAGAAGCAAAAUCCUACCUCACCUCCACCAUAUCUAUCUCUCCCAGCCUCCUCCUCCGUUCUCUGGAUAUUUCCUUUUCUUUUCCACGCUCUUCCCUUCCGCGAUCUCGCCCCGCUUCGCCCUUGUCUCUUUCUAUCCAGGAAGAAGAUUUCAUUCCUCGUGCUAUCGUUGGUUGCUUCCUCUCGGGAAGAUCAUCUUUCCUCUCGGGUUUCGAUGCUAGUGUUGUUCUCUUGCUGAAAGAUCGGACUUUUCGUCAGUUUUCGCUACGGUUCGAUCCUUGAGGUCUCGCUGAGAUUUUGAUAGGAAGAUCGGAUAUAUAUAUUUUCCUUUUCCUCUGCUUAAGAUUCUUGUCCCAACGGUUUGGGAUUUUUGCUCUCGGUUGGGAAGAAGAGUUCUUGUUCUGGGUUCUUGGAGCGGUUUGGAUCUCUUCCCUUCGUCAAACCAUCUUUCACCAUGGAUUUCGAUGCUACUAUCUUUUCCUGGCUGAAAGGUUGCAUUUUCCGCUCAAUUUCGUUCCUUGAGGUCUCGCUGUGAUUUCGAAGGAAAAGAUAAUAGUUUGAUCUGGGUUUUGUCGCAAGUAUCGUGUGGUUCACAAUUAGCUGCAAUUCCGGCGGGUAACAAGUUUUCCUGUGCCUCUGUUUUAAAGUUCUUGCCGAAGUUUUGAGAUUUUUAUGUUCAUUUGGAGAGCGAUCCUUUUUCUGGGGUCUUUACUACGAGAGCUCUGGUUCUUGCCGUCCCCCAGCGGGUUCUGUGAAAAAAUUGGAUUUUUAUCUGGAUUACGUAAUAAGAAUUUUUCGAUCAAUAUAAGCUUCUGUUCUGGUUAGGAAAAUGGUUUGCUUGCGCCUCUUAAUUCCUUCGGUGAGAUUCUUGCCCCCAGGAUAGGAAGUUUUGGAUUGUUCACUCUUGUCUGGACUCUGUGGAGAAGAAUUCCCGUGGUCUUUACUUAAAGAGAUCAACUUCUAUAGUCUUUCUUUGAAUUGAACUAAAGAAUUGCUUUCUUGGAAUCUGGGAUUGGCUGUCGGACAUUGGAAAUUUGGGGAUCUUGCUUCGAGCUUCCUUAAUUGAUUGAUAGGGAAUUGUGUUAAGUUUGCCAGAGUUGGGAUGAUGAAAGUGGGGAAGGAAGAGGAAAAGAUCAUGAAUCCCAUGUUUCCAAGGCUUCAUGUGAAUGAUACAGAUAAAGGGGGUCCAAGAGCACCUCCUAGGAACAAGAUGGCCCUGUAUGAACAGCUAAGCAUCCCUUCACAUAGAUUCAAUUCUACAGCUGCUUCUGUAUUGCCUCUUCCACCACAUAAUGCCAGCAUCCUGGUUUCCACUGCAUCAAGCCAGGUCAAUUUUCUAAUGAACUCUUCUUUCAUCCAGUUUGUGGUAUGACCUUAGUUUGACAUGCUUUCUUGCUUGUUAUGAUGGUAUGCUUUCACUCAUAUUUAUUUUGACCACAUUUAAUCUUAGACGUCUUGUUUCAGCCUGCAAUUCAUGGAACAAUGUUGCAUAUGCUAGUUGGCUUUUACCAUCAAUUAACAAAUGCCACCAAAUGUUCUCCCAUUUUUUACUUUUAGAUUCCAAACACAACCAACAGAGGUUGGGGCCUUGAUAUACAACCACAUAUUUUGUUUUUGAGCUUGAUAAACACCAGUAGUUCUUUAUAUAUAUAUAUAUAUACACAACCAGAUGUUUUGUUUCUAUAGAAGUACAAAUACAUGUCAUUAGACAAAUGUAUGGAGUUCUAUAUAAGCUUGUGGAAAUAAUUUAAUAUAAUCAAUAAGAUUGCGAUAGCUCUUGGAUUCAAAUGUGGUUUUCCAUGUAGAUGCCUAGAUUAAAAAGGAAAAAAAAGAGGAGAUUUCCAUAUAUAUUUUUUUUUUUUUUAAGUUCUGGGUUGUCCAAUAUUUCUUUGGAAGAAGUGAGGGGCUAGGACAAGAAGACUUAUCUCUUCCCUGCCAUUUUCCCCCACAAGUUAAAAAAGUGAUCAAUAAAAUGUGCAUGAAUGUAUUAAUAGGAACGUUUUCAAAAUGUCGAGGUUUGUUAAGUUGUGGUGCAACCACUUUUUUAUUUUCUAUGACAAUGAAUUAUUGAAUGGUGUAAAGUCUUUCUUUCUUUUUUGCUUCUUUUUCUUUCUUUAGACCAAAUGACAGGUGCCAUGGCAAUGGUAAAAUGUCACAAAUUUGUUACCAGAGAUUAGGUGGAAGAUAAAAGAUCAAGGACAAGGACUGGCUUGGCAGGUUACAAGGCAAGCUUGCUCCCAACUAUAUGUACUAUAGUGCUGCUGAUGGGGUGAUAUGUAGUAAUAGGCACAACUGAAAGUUAAAUGUGGAUGGCAUGCUAGGGAAGAAAGGAAUAUGGGGGAUUGACUUCAAGAAUUUCUUAUAUGUAUCUUUCAUUUUAUAUUAAUGUGUUAUUAAUCUAUUAUUUCUAUGUUAUAGGAUGGCUGCUACAUGACUAAGUUUUCCAAAGUUUUGUAGCAGUCAUGCCAUUUAAAUUAGAAGCACAGUGGUGAUAGUUAUACAUUAAAGGGACAAAACUUGCAAAGUAUUUUAGAGCAGAAAAUAGUUAGCAAGAAGGGCAGGGUACUGCCAUUUUUUAGGCAUUCUGUUUCAUUGUUUGGUAAAGUCCUCUUUUAGCAUCCUAAACGCAAGCCAUAUGGCUAAGAGGCUAGGCGACUUCAUUUUUCUGUCCCUUUUUUUUUUCUUUCUGUAAUAGAUGAUUAUUUCUAAUUCCUCCAAGCCUUCCUUUUAUUUGUGCAGGGGGAUAGGGGAUGGAGGAGAAAACUGGUUAUGAAUGUUUUCACCACAAAGACAGAAAUUAGCUUAUUUUUGUUCAGUAAAAGAGGGAGAACUGCUCUAAAGUACAAAUUAUUGGUUGAAGUAUAUAAUUUUCAUCUUUAACUUAGUCUCUGGUUCAAGAAUUAGCUUUUUGAGGAGUUGCCUUUUCUUGAAUGUUGAUCCCUUUCUUUUCCAAUAUCAUGUAUUUAAUUUUAGAUUGGACUCUACAUUUGGAAACUAGAACAUAUGAUCUUUUUCUGAAAGCAGGCCAUAAAGUCAUUUUUCUUUAUGAUGAUUUGAUCCUCUGAUUGAAUUGUGCUAAAAUGUUAGGAGGUUAUAUAUCCUUUAGGUAUGUUCAUUUUUAAGGAUCCACAACUUUGUUUGGUUUGCAGAGGCUAUUGUCAGUACUUCCAUGCUUUUAAGAGAUUUCAAUGGGACUGAGAUGAAUAGCAAGAGCUCGUAGUAGAGGUAUUGAAAGGAUGUUCAGUUGAGAAAGAGUUAGCUUUACUUGAUUAAUAAACUACUUAGAAUCAAAAUAAGUCCUAGUUUUUAGGUGAGUUAGCAUGGGCUGGUUGCUGGAGGGUGCGCAUACCUUUCAAAAGAUCCUUAGGUCCCAUAGAAUAUGGAAUAAGAGAGUACCUUUUGUUAUUUGCAACAAAAAGUGGAAACAUGAAUAGCAUUAGCAAGGACAAAAGCAGUAAAGAUGGAGCCAAAAGGCGCAAUCUAUGUGAUGAAUAUUCCUUUAUGGCCUUGUGAAUGAGGGACAAAAACAAAAACGUAUUGGACCUCAAGGAACCUCACAAGUUUCAAAUUUCCUUUUGACAGCCACAUUAGUUACAAUAUUAACCAAAUGCAAGAUUCCUAAAUGGGGUUUUAGUGGAGCAAGGAAAUGAUUUUUUUGACAUUAAUAUGGAGACAACAUCACAACUUCCUUUAUAACCCAUUGAAGGUUUCUUACCGUCAGGUAAGCGAAAAUGAACUCUUCAAGUAAGGAAUGGGAAAUAAUUGUUUGUAUUCAGUGAUUGAUGAUGAUAAUAAUUUUGUAGUCUUUUUAGAGGGUUAAAAAAUCCAACUAGUCAUAGCAACAUUGUUACAUGAAUUGUCUGCUGAAGCCAAGAAGAUAAAUAUUAAAUGAAAGUAUGAUAUCAUAACAAGCAAUUGAAUGUAAUAAGAAGGGCAUUUUUCAUCACAAAAAGACCUAGAUUAAAAAUAAUAGAAGGUAUUGUAUUGACUUCUAAGUACUUCACUGAAAGGUGCAAGAUGGGAAAAAGAAGCUUAAAAUAGUCAAAGCGGAGUCAGUUAUGUAGCCAUGGUCUUGCUUUCUCUCUCGAGAUAAAUAAGUUACGAAAGAGUUGAGAUAUGGUGAUACCCUCAUUCUUCUCUUCGGACUGCUUGAGCUUGUUUUUCAUCUUGGAACCUACAUAACUGCCGGUUCUUUUGUUUUUCUUUCUUCAUUCAUGCGUGAAAGAAGUCCUGAUCUUGUUCUCCACAUGAAUGACUUUCUAUAUUUCACCUCUUCUUUGAAUCCAGAAAUGAUUAACUUUCAAGUGUGGAGUCCAUAUAAAUAUGCUGUCACCUCUCCUUUUUCCUUUUGUCUUUUUAAGACUCAAGGAAGAAUCCUUCUAUAAAGGAAGAGGGGAGAUGGCUGGCCACUUUAUGAUCUUCAUGUAAUUCUUAGAUGGCCCUAUACAGUAUGAUUUUCCUUUCUACAUUCUUCCAAUGUUUGCUGACACGAGAGAAAUUGUAGUUGCUCGAUUUUCAUUUUUGUUUUUACUUAAGAGUACAUGUAAUUGUCUUAAAGUAAGAAGGAUUUUACAUGUUCAUGAGAACAUAAUUACUGGAGCUCUUGAAUAGCAUCUUUUGUUUUCUAACUUGUUAAAAGUUAGUUUCUAAUUAAGGAAGUACACUUAUAGAGUCUUGAGGAGUCCUAAACUUAGGAUUGGCUUUAAAAAUCUUUAUGCUGUUGUAGUAUUGACUAGGAGGUCUUAGGCAUAUCUCUCAGUUUUCUGAUCCUUGUAUAUGGAGCUUUAUAAAAUACUUAGUUCUUGUCAUAUUUUGUAAGUUCGAAAUAAUUGAGAAGUUCUCAUCCUCGAUCUUCACUCUCCCUAUUCUAUUUUCUCUAUUUCUUUUGCUCUUAUUUUUCUUUCAUUCUUGUUUUCUUCUGUAAAAUGAAAAUGUGAAUUUAAUUUUUCUUCUCUUUAAAACAGAACCUUUCAUUUUCAAUUGCUUUCUUGAUCCAAUUUGAUAUGAAAUCAAAGAUACUCAAAAGGAAUUGGUGUGCCAACAAGGUGCUUUUUCUUCAUCACGUUCCUAUAUGCAUUUACCUUUUUCUUUAUCUGGUGUCCUCAAUUGAAUACAUAUUAUCUGCAAUAAAAGUUGGCCUACAAUGUCAUCUUUGUGUGAUUCCAUUCAAACUUUAUGCUGUUUUUUCCUUUAAUUAGUAGAUAUAGGGCUUUAGUAUGGUUAUAUAGACUCAUUUCCUUUUCACCUUUACUUAAACCAUACUUCAAGUCCUUUGCCUUCUUACUUUUUAAAAGAUAAUCUUGAUGGUCUUAGGUAGUUGUAUACAGUUCUCAUUGCUAACAUCUCAUUGUUGUCUACCCUUUGCUUCUUUCUUGGCUUCAUCAUUUUAAUAUUUUGCAUCACUUAAAAUCGUCUUUCUGUAAAAUUCAAAAGCAAUCAUUGGUGGAUCUUUCCAUCCAGCUAAGAAGCCCAUGCUACAUAGUUUAUUGGGCUGAUGAUUCAGUGCACAUAAGAGUUAAAUGAGUAACUAUGGUUAUCUUUGCUCCAAAGAAUCCUCAGUUAUUACAUGAUGUCAGCCCCUGACUUGAUUUUCUGUGGCUAUAAAUUGAUGAUGCAUUGUUGUGGGAAAGGUAAACUUAAAUGCUCUUGCAUUAUAUCUUGCCUCCCAUUUGUUCCCUAUAUUUGUUAAUUUUCUUUUAUCUGGCAAGGCCAUUUUGGCUUCAAUACUUUAGCUGGAAGAGGGCAUGCUAUCAAAACAUUGAAAUAUCAGCUUACAAUGUUCAGGUGUGAGUUGAAGAGUGAUUGAAACAGUUAAGAUUUCACGAUUUCAUAUGACUCCCAACUUCCAAUUCUAUCAUCUCUUAACAGUCCUUGCUCUUUCAGUUAAAAUUAUUCUUUGACCAUUGCUCAUUAUGGGUACGCUCCUUGCCCGAGAACACUUUACAUGUGACUUUCCACUUAUUCCUGACACAACAAUCUGCUGCACUUUGCCAUCUUGCUUGUAUGGAAAGUUUCUUGUAUUUCAUAUUGUGCACCUUUUCGCUCGUCGAUGGUCUCUCUCUCUCUGAGUUUUAGUAACUAGUCUCCAUCCUAGCCUGAUGCACUAUCAUUUCUAAUACUAAAUUUUACCUUUUGUCUUCUCAUAAACCCCCACCCCUCCCACUCGCUCUGUGUUGGAUGAAGUUAAGCCAGUUUAUUGGGGACAUACCUGAUCACAGAAAGUUGUUCGUUUGCUUCAUCUAUUAUUCAUUCCAUUCAUCUGCUGUUCUGAUGCUGACAAAAUAUGUUGGCUAUAGGAAUGUGGUCACGAGAGGAGUGUCUCAUCUCCAUAUUAUACACCUUCUGAUGCACCUGUGCAUAACUUUAGGAAGGUUCAUUCACAUUCAUCAAAUGGAAAGAUCCCUCCUGCUACAAUUAGGAAAUUCAAGAGACCUGCUAGGCAUGGGAAUCAAAGAUCUUCACAUGCUGCAUCUUCAAUUGCUGACUGCAAUUUGCUCCAUCCUCAUGAUGUCUAUGAUAGGAAGAAUUCUAGUGAGGAAGACGAUGAUUUCAGGGUUCCUACGUUCAUUCAUUCUGAGUUUGCUAAAUGCUCAAGCAAGAAUAUGCUUGUGAAGGAGAUGCAAAAAUCAUCUGCCUCUGGUGUAAAGGAGCCAGCAGAAAGUUACUCUUGCACCGUCAGUUCAUCUGCCCAGUUGUCAAAUUUUUAUGACAAGCCCUUGGAGCAAAAAAGUGCUUGUGUUGCAAAUUCAAGAAAACAUGAAACUAACCAUAGUGAGAAAGAGCAUCGAGAAACUAGAGGAAUUAAAGAACAGACAGAAGAAUUUGCUUUCCACCCAGAAAAUGGAGAGAAGAUUUCAGAACCUUCAGUUUUUUCCAAGGCAUUUUUAGAUCAUGAAUGCAUAAGAAUCAGAAAUGCUAUUGAUAAAACAUGCUCAGGAAAUACUGAAAGAAGUCAAGAAUCUUCUGAUAAUGGUUGUCUGGGUGAACUCAGAUGCUUGGAAAGCAGAGAUGUUAUGGAAAAUGGGGAUGCUAGGCUGAGAAGUGGAUGCUGUUCUAAGUCAUCACCUAGAAAUAGUCACAGGGAUGCAAAUAUGGCUGAUAACUGCUACCUGAAACUAGGUGACAAGGCAGGUGUGUCACUGGAAUUGGGGGAUGGAGACAGAAAUGGUGAAAUGUCUGAUACGUCGAUGGACUCUAUCGCAGGCUUGAAUAUUUCUCUUGAUGAAGUUGUGGGAGUAAUCGGUCCAAAACAAUUCUGGACAGUGAGAACAGCUAUAAUCAAGUAAGUACCAUGCAGUUGCUUGCCAACUACAUUACAAUAUCAUCCAGCUUCUACUCUCCUUAUCUCAUGAUGAUGGUUUCUUCUUAUUGAGAGAUCUUUAAUAUAAUUUGUCUCUUUGCUGAAGUUGCUUAACAUUGUAGUUCUUCUUUUGUGGUCGCAUGUGGGCAGUGUGUGUUCUUUUAACACUUCACCUUUUGGCUAUUUUAAACAACUUAAUUUCUUUAUGCCCAACAACUUAUCAUCCACCUAAAUAAUUAUGUCACUUUACAUUAUGAGGCCAGAAUCUGUAUGUUAAUGUAUGCUUUUCACUGUUUGAGUUAUUCUGCUGCAUAAUUUAAUCAUGGUACUGGUUUACGUGACAAACUACUGAUGCUAUCGGUGCAAUGUUUUGAUGCAUUAUUGUAUUCAGGGAAAAGAUGGAGACAUGCUUAUCUCUAGCAUUAUUUGAGGGAUAUGUGUACAAGCAUAAAAAGAAGAUUAAGAAUAAAGAGAUUAAGGAUAAGAACCAUCCAUUCAUAUCCUUAUUGAAGCGGAAUAAGAAUAGAAACAAUCCGUUAAUGUCCUUAUUAAAGCUGAAUGUGCUCCUUUUUAAGUAUGGAUGUUAGUUGAUGAAGUCAAGAAAACAAAUUACAACAGCUGAAAUAUUUAAGUGUCCAGACAAGAUUAUGAGGAAACAAUUGUUUUUGGCUUUCAUGCAUAAAAUUGGCAUACAAUGACAUUGGAAUGCAAGGACUGAGAUAAGUGGAUGUCACACAAGCAAAAUUGGGGUAUACACUCCCUUAUGGAAUCCACCAUGAAAGGAAAGAGCAAGAAGCCAGCACCUCUUAAAAUAAAAUCGGUACUUACCAUAGGUUAAUUUCAUUUGCAUAGUUUUGUUACAUAAAUAGGACAUUCCCCCGUGAAAAAUUAAUGAUAGAUUUAUGAUGAAAUUACUAAGUAAUCAUUUGAAGUUUCCAAGGGACAAUUCCACAAGUACCUAUAUAUCCAACUAUUAGUGACAUCCUGAGUUUCUAACGGGCACUUUCACGAGUACCUGUAGAUCCAACCACCCACCAGAGUACAUUAAUGAUAAGCAAAAUGAGAGUGGGCUUCUCUUAUGGGCUUCUUCUUGGGCCUUAUCCAUGGGCACUCGGGUGUCAUUCUUCUUAAGUUGGAGGGAUUGCACUGGAGUUCAUGUGUCUUCUUCAUCUCCAUAGUAUGGUAAAAGAUCUACAUUGAAAAUGGUUGAAAUGUAAUAAUCUCCCAGUAGCAUCUCCCCAAUUCUUUUGAGAACUUUGAAUGGUCCAUCAGCUCUUGGCAUGAUCUUGCCAUGAUGACCCAAUGGGAAGUCUUUGCAAAGUUGGAUCCUUACUAAAUUCCCUUUGUUGAAGGCCACAGGCUUUCUAUGCUUGUUGGUGGUGUCUUGAUACUUUUGAUUGUGCUUCACAAUUUGGGUUUGCACCUGUUCAUGAAAAUGUUGGAUGUGCUUAGCUUGUUCUUUUGCAUUUCCACUAAAAUGUUGUCAUAGGAACAAGAGCCAGGUUUAAUGCGCUACUAGGAUUUCACCCACUUGAAAAGGACUAAUACUGGUAGUUUGGCUAGAUGAUCAAUGAUAGGCUAACUCAGGUUGAGCCAAGGCUAGAUUCCAUUAACAAAUAUGUUUUUUACCCAUCACAUUCCUCAAAAGAUUACACAAAUUUCAAUUAGCGGCCACUUUUUGACCAUCCAUUCAAGGGUGAUGCAAGGGGCUAAAUUGGAGAGGGGUGCUAGGCUUCCUUGAAAGUGUAUCAAGAAUGAUCAACAAAUUUGGGAUCACAAUCGAAAGUAGUUUUCUUUGGUAUGCCAUGAAUUUUGACAAUCUCUUGAAGGUAAACGUCGCCCACAUGAGAAGCACCCAAAGUUUUGUUACAAGGUAAAUAUGAGCCACAUUGGAAAAGCAAUCAAUAACCAUCAUGAUAGAAUUUUUGUUUCUUUGAGUGUGGGAUAAGUUGAAAACGUUUUCUUGGUUCAGAUCCUCCCAAGGAGCAUCUGGAAUUAGUAGUGGAGCAUGGAGAUCUGUAUUUUGAGCACAAGCUUUGGCUAUGUGACAAGUCCUACACCUCUUGAUGUAUGCACCAUCUUGAGGCGUAUGUUACCAAUAAUUUUUUUUGGAGAACCCCGAUUUCGUUCCUUUAAUAGCGUCCAUCAAGUUCACCUUUAUGAGCUUCUUUGGUAAUAGCGUGGCAUGGUCAACAUUCUAGAAUACACAGAAGAUUGGUUUUUAAAGAGAUAGGCAUUAUGAUGAAUGAAGUGAGAAUAAGGAAUUUUAGAGCAUUUCUCCCAAAUUUUGUUAAAAUAUGAAUCAUCAUUGUAUAACUUUUCGAGUACUUCAAACCUAAGACUUUCGCCUUGCAUGACAAGCAACAAGGCCAGUUUUGCUCAAUGCAUCCAUCACUUGAUUUUGUAUGUGGGCCUUAUGCUUGAUAUAAAAAGUGUAGGUUUCGAGGACGUCUAUCUAUCUUGUAUGCCUAAUAUUGAGUUUAUGAUGGCCAUUUAUGAAUUUCAAGGCUUCUUGAUCCAAAAAGAGAACAUACUCCUUAAAUAUGAGGUAGUGGCUUCAAUGACCCAAAGCUCAGAUGAUAACAUAAAACUUUUUAUACUAGGUGUACUAAUUUCAUGGGAAUUAUUUAAUUUUUCACUGAACAUGGUGAUGUUUUUAUAUUUUUGGCUACACAUGGCAUCAAUUCCCCCAUUUGAAGCAUCACAAUCCACCGAACAUCAUUGAAAUCUAGAAGAGCUAGAACAGGAGCCUUUGCCAUUUCUUUUUAAUAACUUCUAAGCUUUUUUGGCGUCCUUAGUCAAUUCAUGGUAGCCACCUCUCAAGCAUUCAGUGAUAGAAGCAAUAAUGGUUCCAAGGCCUUUGAUGAAGCAGUGGUAGAAGAGUAGCAAGACCAUAAAAACUUUGAAAUAUCAUGUGGAGUAGGCAUGAGCUAACAAGAAAUAUCAACUUUGGAAGAGUCCAUCUUGAUGCCUCAGGCCAAGACAACCAAGCUUAAAAGGACUAACCUAUUUGUCAAGAAUUUACUCUUCUUUAAAAUUAGUGUACAUUUUUUUUUUUUAAUCUCGGGACUUUGAAAACUUGAUGCAGUUGCUUUAUGUUCUCCUCAAUAUUUUUGCUAUAGAUUAAUAUGAUCAAAACAAAUAUUAAGGUACCGGCCAAAUAAGGUCUGAAAAUGUGGUUCAUGAGUCGAAUAAGAGUGCUCGGAGCAUUUGACAGCCCAAAUGACAUCACCAUCCAUUCAUUAAGGACAUCCUGAGUCGUGAGCUGUUUUCAAUUCAUCAUCAGGCUUUAUUUGGAUUUGGUGGUAGUCACUUAUAAAAUCAAAAAAAAAGGCAUCCAAGUGUCAAGGCUCCUGCCAAGGGCAUUUACUAAGGCAUUUACUAAGGCCAUCUGUGCAACAAGAGUCUGAAAGAGAUGACAGCAAAAAUAAGCUGCUCCUGCUGAUGCUAGCAAGAAACAAUAAUUUAAAGCUUCUUGGAAUCAACAUUAUUUUUUAUUAUAAAUGGACCAAUUUUAAGUUGGAAUAAACAUCUUGAAAAGUUCAUGUUUAUCAGGAAAAAAGAAAAGGAGAAAUUGUUUGUGCAUUGGAUGCAGAUGCUGAAAUGACAAACUGCCCCUUGCAUUAGAAGUAUAACAAAGGCAAAGCAAAUCAAUAGCAGGUCUUUGUAAGGUCUUAGCUACCUGGUCUGCCUAGUAUACCCAUAGGGUUAUAAGAAGCUAUCGAUUAUAGUAUCAGACGGCAACCUUUGUACCUAUAGGUAAGUUCAAUAAAGUACUCAGUGGGGUGGUUGAUGUUGCUCUGCACAGGCGAUUUGGUGAAUCUUUUCUUUGGUGACUGACAAAACAUUUCUUUUCUAAUUUGAAGGAAAUUUUUAACAAAUGUUAAAAUAAUAAAGAAAUCAUGUCGUUCAAAUUCAGCAUUGUUAUGAACCCAUAACGAAGGGGCUUAUAUGCACUUGUUUAUUAGUCCACCACCUUGUUGACUUCUCUUUUCAUCAUUGAUAUUUAGUUGGAUUCCUCUAUUCCCACACCAGGUAAUUUGAAGUUUCUAUUGAAACUGAUUUUUUUCAGCUAAAAGCAAGCCAAAACUGACCACAACGUGCUUUUACACUAUUUUGCUCGAAAUGAAUUUUGGAUUCUAACUUUAAUCAGUGUUAGGUAGUAGUGUAAUUUUGGGGUCAGUUGUUCCAUUUUACAAUAAUGCUCAUAGGCAGUCAAAUUUGGCUAGAAUUGAUUCUCUCCUUUUUCUUUCCCUUUCUUUUCUUUUUUAAAUUAAGGAACUUGGAGGUGAUAAAUCUAGCAAUUCAUAAGAAUUUUAUUUUAUUCAAGCAUAUAGUUUUUAUGUUUUUAGAGAAUUGGAAGCAUUGAUGGGUUUUACUCCGAUAAAGUUCACAAGAAGGUUGGUUGUUUUUUAGAUGUGAGAGAUUAUAUUGGGUUGUAAGUAGGUUUCUAUUUUGUUGAAACAGUGGAAGGAAAAUGAGAUAUUCAGAGUAAAUUAAGCCCAAAGAGAUGCACAAGGAGUCAAGGAUUGAACUUUGAGUUGAACAGUUUUGAGCUCAAAUAUAUACAUGUUUAGAUGAAAUAAUUGGAGCCUUGGUUAUAUUUUUGUACUUAAAAGUUUUUCUCUGUUAAUGCUUGCUUCUUGAUUAGAUGAUAUCAUGUCAAAUUUGUAUCGUAGUGCAGCAUGUUUCGUGCAUUCUACUUUCAUAGACAUUUGCAUGAUUUCCUUAGAUAAUUAUAUUGUUAUCAUAUGGUUAUAUGAUAUAUUACACUCUGAAUUGAUAAGUUAUGUGAUUUAGAAUUUUUCAAGUUUGGGCUUCAACCUGAUAACACUGAAACUGUACAUCCAAAGACAUGAUAUGAUAUAGCAUAAAAUUCUUUAAUAUAUGUUUUCUUGCCUUUUUUUUUGAAGUUUUUGGCUGAGACUCCAAAGCUCAAGUUAGAACUGCCAAAAUUGAUACUAAAUUGGUCUGGCCGAAACCAAAACUUGGAACCUUUGAAGAAGUAUACAAGCACAUAAGGUCUGUUAUCACUCGAUAUUGUUGUUUGGAAAAUAAAGAGGCUGCAUUUGAUCAUGGUGGAGAUGAUGAUAUUGGUGGUAAUAAUACUAGAAAUUGAGAAGUUGAAAUCACUCAAUUAGCUGAUCAACAUUCAUAGGAACAGACAGAUUUACGAACAAGUAUUCAGAGGCCAUUUGCAGAAGCAGGUUAUACACCCAUUUGGGGACUUGCUGGGAGUUAUUACUUUUAAUCAUUCUUUUAAUAUUGUCAUUUGGUUUUUAGACAUGUGAAAUAUGAUGAAACCUUUGUUUUUUCAGAAUAUGGAUCAUUUGGUGGUGUCUGCUGAAAGCAGAAAUCCAUGCUAAAGGAGAGCAUUGAAUAAUAUCACUAAAUUUGAUAGAAAAGGAAGACUGAAAUAAAUAAGAUGCAAGUAGUAAAAAUAAAGGAAUUUGAAUGUUGCCAUUUACUGCUUAUAACUGUGGGAAUUGCAUUUAAUCUAUGGGCGAACCAUUAGCUUUUUUUUCGAUUGAUUUGAUUGGUGAUAUGGUUCAACCUCCAAAUUUUUUUUAGCUUGCUUUUAUACAUUUUUUUGGACAAAGAAGAGGAUAGAGAAAAUAUGUAGCGGAUUAGGAGCCAACUGAGAGCAUAGGGACAAGCGUUUAUGUUAUAAAAUCAUGGAAACUGCCUUUUACUAAGGUCAGUAUGUUCCUAACAUUAUGGGCCAGAGGCUAUUUGCAAGUUGUGACUUAAUGCUUCCAGAUGUGCCAUGUGUAGUAUGUUACUCCUAUUCUCAUGUGCUUGUCUGGUUUAAGUUGCACCAUUUUCCUUGAUUAUUUUCCUUAAUAGAUUAUCUUGUGUCUGCGGAAUGGAUGUCCCACUUGGUUGAACUUCAUCAAAUGACAGCUCCGAAUGGUGUCUUCCUGCAAAGAAGAAAGUAGACAUGGGAAAUUAAGAGAUCCCCUGAACCUACAACACUUAAGCAUAUAAAAAUGCAAUAUCAAAUCAUCACACUUGUCUAUGAAUUAGUUCUUGGCACAUCCUAUGUGCCAAUGGUCUUGCAUUAAGAAUCAGUAAAUCAUGUUGAAAUCAUAUGGCACUAAUGCUUCUAGCUCUACAACUUUCUCCCACUGCCUUCCAACAUUCCUAUCUGCACCUAGACAAGCCCCUCCAAUACUUCUUCUCGAGCUUGAAUCUGCCACCUUUUUUUCCCAUUCACUCACUGACAUUUCGUAACAUAUCGUGCUUCAGUUACAAAUCAAUGGUUGAUUUGCACCGCACCUUAUUUUGGACUUUAGACAAAUCUCAGUUAAUUACUUUAAAUGGUGGUAGUAAUAAUGGUGCAUUAUUCUCUGCCGUUUCUUUACAAUAGCAAAUUGUCAGGUGUAUAUGCCAGGAAAUGCCUGUGAAAAGUUUACUGUUGUUGAAAUACGGUAACGAUAAGUGUCUUACCUUUUGGGUUUGAAGUUUCUUUUGUGAUCAACAAACACCUCUUGUUUGUUGCAGCCAACAGAGGAUUUUUGCAUUACAAUUGUUUGAGCUGCAUAGAUUGAUAAAGGUUAGUGGGUAUCAACAAUAUCACAUGACUAGAAAUUGUAUUCAUAGUACACAAUGUAAACUAGCGAAUCUGGUUCUUGUCAAACAGGUUCAGAAGUUACUCGCUGCAUCACCACAUCUACUUCUUGGUGACAAUCAUGGUUCGAACAAUUCUAUGUUAGAAUUGCCUACAAAGAACCUACCUGCGGAGUCCAAUGUAGAAUUGCAACCACUGACAGAACAGAAAGAUAAUGUUCAGGAACAGAACCAGAACAUCAAGUGCCCCACAGAGAAAAGGGGAGUUCAUCCAUCCCCUUCUCCUGAUGGUGGCCUUAGCAAGGAACUUGAUCAGCUUCCAAGCAGUGAACCUUGCUCUGGAAAACCACCAGCUGUCCCUGUGGCUCCUGAUAACUCACCAGGUCCUUGGUGUUUCCAACCGCCUGCAAAUCAGUGGUUGGUUCCUGUCAUGUCGCCUACAGAAGGGCUUAUCUACAAACCAUACAGUGGGUUUUGUCCUCCAUCGGCUGGUUUCAUGGCCCCUAUUUAUGGAGGUUGUGGCCCUAUGCAGCUUCAAGUUGGUGGAGAUUUCAUGAACCAAGCUUAUGGUGUCCCAGCAACUCAUCAGCAACUAAACAUGGGGACUCCUUUUAGGUCACCUGGAGUUGCUCUGAACUACUUCCCAGCACCUUAUGGCCUUCCAGUUGUUAACCCAGUUAUCCCUACUUCAGUUGUUGAACAGGUGAGCCCUUUGACCAGGCCUAUGGAGCAGACCGAACAGCACUCACAGAGUUCAUGUAACAUGUUGAAUCUAAAGAAUGAAGCUUUUGGAGGCUGUUCUUGGAAGUUGAAUGCGUCUAAAGAUUGCGAGUUGCAGGGAAGCACAGCAAGCAGUCCUUGUGAGAGGGUUCAAGGGGAAGGGAGAGAUGCACUAGAUCAUCCUGUAGCCCCACUUACAAAGCGUUCAAGACAGCUGUUACGAUCUAAUGAGAGCGACUAUCAGACUCAUGUGAUUAAGGUUGUACCCCACAAUGCAAGCUCUGCCACAGAGUCUGCAGCACGAAUCUUCCGGUCAAUACAGGAAGAGAGGCGACAACUUGACAUAUAACACAUUUGUGCUUCUCCAGAGCACACUUAAUGGAUUUUACGAGCCAAUAUAGUCAUGGGCGUAGAUGUAGUUAAUUUGGUGUCUCGUCACAUUCAGAUUGGGUGUUUUGUUUAUAGGAGCCAAAAUUUUGGUUGUGGAUCCUCUUUUAUGUUGUCUAUAUGUAAUUUAAAUAAAUAUAUAUAUGUAUGUCGGAAACAUAUGGAACUGUUGUUUUGUAGCUUUUUUCUUCAGGAUGAUAUGCAGUGCAUGUAAAAAAUCCUGUACUAAUUUUCCAAUAUAUGCUAUCACAAAUACGAGUGAAAUUAAUCUCAAAUAUAUAAUGAGGCUUGGUGAAUGUAAUUGAUUCCUGCUGUAUACCAAAUUGUUUUAGCUCUGGCUAUGAGGAAUAUCAAUGUGCUUAUGCGGUACAAUUGGAAUAUUUAAGUUUUAGGCUGGCGUCUUUCUGAUUUGCCUUGGAAGAUAAAGGUUUUGCAAAUGAGGAAAAUGAAAAAUUGUGCAUUGUCACAUGAUAUGAACUCCAUAGGAGGGGAUAGGAUGCUGAGAGUUUUGCCUCGACUCAUACCAAAAUUGUGUAAACAAAUUGCUGAUGGUUGAAUGAUAAUGAGUUAGUACAGCUGGGAGGGAAUCUGUAGCGUGAAAUAAACAUGAAACCUGCUAUGAAACUGCGAUACAGAAUCUAAUAUUAACAAUGGAUUGAGCCAUUAACCGUUUAAUGUUGAUUCGGCGAAUUGCUUAAAGGUUUGGAAUGUAUAUGGGUUAUACGUUAUUAUAUGUUUUAUCAUCCUCACCAUCUUGGAACUCCGGGUAUGGCUUCUACUUCUGUCCUUGGGAACCUGUAUUGUUUGCUGGCGACCAGGGAUGGAACGCUGAAGCUCUCCAAACCUUUAGAGCGACCAAAGUCUUAGGUGCAUCCAUGCUCAGGGGUUUAAUGAGGAAAAGGGAAAAGAUCAUCUAGAAAAUUAUUUGUUGUCAUCUCUGCAGUCUUAAUAGUUGACUUCUAUUGUGUUUUCUUAUCAAUAAAUUACGAGGUAGGUGAUAGGAAUUUUGCAAUCGUGUUUUGGGCCUUGAUUUUCGGAAUACUCUUUGUUUCUCCCUGUGGCAAGAGAUAAUCAGAGGUGACACACCUCAGUGACUUGUUCAUAGGCUUAAGAAGCAAAAGCAUAAUUUUGCCUUUAAAAAAAAAAAAGAAAAAGUUAUUUUUAACAUUCGAAUAUAACAUUAAUGGAAAGGAAAUGAUUCGCCGAUAAUUUGGAUAACAGCACAUUAUCGUUUGACUUAAAAGCAUGAUGUUCUGUACCAGUCCGAACCAAUCCGAUAUAUUCCAUACCAUAUCGUAUCGAUGGAGAACCGAUCUGAUUCAGAUUAGAUUUUCGAAAAAUAGUCUGAACGAAAUCGAAUCAGACAAGUCAGUACAGUAUCGGCUCAAACGGUCCGAUAUCGGACGGUUCUGUCCGAUUCAACCUGAUUUUUUUUGGUGCUAUUAGAUGGAUUUUUUUUAUUUUUUAAUAUUCAAUACAGUAUGGUUGAUAUGAUACCAUACCGACCGACAAUCGGUAUGAAUUUCGAUACUGAAUCUACGAACCUUGCUUAAAAAUUUUGAACCCUAUGUCUGUUAAGCUAUGAUUUUACACAGGUAAACAUGGACCAAUUUUAAAAUUUUAAUUUCUAAUUAAAGUGCUCNNNNNNNNNNNNNNNNNNNNUUUUUUUUUCAAACAACAAAAAUCGGUCACAGAAUUGUGGUACACUCCCAUGCCUGACAUCUCUAUGCAUGAGCUCCAACAGCUCUAGUGUGAUUCGAGACAUAAAAUCCAUGCUUCUGGAGCCUGCUUUCAAGUUUUCUUUCCAUAGUUCUCCUUAUUAGGAAUUUUGAGGAAAUUAUGUAUUUGAACCCUCUAAAACAGGAAUCAUUUCCUUAUGGAGGGUGACAUAUUAUUAUUGCCACACUCGAGAAGAGGCAAUUAUGCUGCUGAUAAUCAAGGAAAAAUAGCCUCUCUUAUGUUGCUGAAUGGUUCAUAAGCAGAUUUCAUUUGCAACCCUGUAUUAUGAAAAUCCUCAUAACAGACUCCACUUUUUGAGAAAACUGGUACUCAAACAGAUGACGUAUGGCUUCUGUGCGCUGUAAAAUUAACCAAAGCUAUCAAAUCAUGAUCAUGGAUUCUGUGACCAAUACCAUUUAUCUUUCCAAGUCUAUAAUUCACAUUCACUAGCCAAAAUUUGCUUACCCUCCAAAAUGUUCAAGACUCUAACCUGGUUUUUGACAGUUUUUUCUCUUGCCUCUAAAAAUAAUGUUACCACGUCUCAAGAUGUACAAACAAAGCUGGAUCAUUAUGAAGAUGGUCUGGCACAGUUUAGACCUCAGAUCUAGUUCAGUAACAGGAAAACUACUUCAGGCCCCCAUAAAAUUCAAGAGAAAAAAGAAAAACUUCGCAUUAUCAAUUUGUAUGUGCAUCAACCCAGAAAUAAAGCUAGCUUCCGUUUAGCAUGGCUUCUAAACAGUGAUUACUCGUUAAAUAUGCAUCUCAAUACAUGCUUCCAUUUUCCACAUUGUAUGAUAUUCAACUCCAUAUGACUUAACAGGAAGUGUUAUAUGUGUACUGCCUAAUCCAGCUGUCCAUGUAAUGUGAUAUACCUUCCAUGAGGAACUAAAGCUUUCCACUACUUAUUAGGAUGUCAUAAAGUUUCCUCCCACAGGUAAGAGAAGACCAACAAAAAUAAUUCCAAAAAUGCCAAAUGGCUCACUUGGCUUCACCUCUAUUGGAUUACACUGAAACCUCUGGACAAAAACUGGUGCUUGAUGAUGGUAUUAGUGCCAGCAUUUGAUUUUUGAUGAUGCCCAUAUAUGUCUCUAUCUCUCUGUAGAUUGGAAGGUUUUGUGAACAGCAUGGCUGCAAACUUGCAACUGCAUAUUCCAGUAUCUGUGCAACCUCAGCUGGAGGAUACUGUCUCGCGGUACAAGCCUGCAUUUUAGAAACAAAGUUGGAGGAUCAAAUGCAUAGUGCCACAAAUAGUGAGAUAAAAAUAGUUUAUAAGUUCAACAAAAGGUGCAUGGAAAAUAGAUUGUAACAUUUAAAAUUGAGUGUAAUAUUGGCAACUUAAUGUAAAAAGUCCUCGGCUUACAAUUAAACGAGCGGCAGGAGACUUACAAUUAAAGGUGCAAAUAUUCAUAGUUUGUCUGCAUUGGUCAACCAGUACUGCCUAAAAGAGGCAACACAUCUCUCAAAGUCAAUGCAACUGAAGAUUAUAGUCUAUAAAGACUAAAAAGCUGCGUGGUAUGUAUUUGAAAUGUUGAGACUGUACCUAUAUUUCGUUUGCAAUAAAGCAAGGUAUCGUAAUGUCAACAAGCAGACCCGUGGCCCUGAUUUUAUAUUGCCUCAAGCCAAGGAAUUUAGUUAAAGUUCAAAUAUGCUUUGCAUAGACCCUGCUCACUAGCCAAAAGCAGCAAGCAAGAUAUAGAUCUUCAGAAAAUGUGGGUAUCUGAAUCACUUUCACUAUAGCCUAUACAAGGUUCGCCAUUUCGAUACCGGAUCCCAUACCGGUACCAUCUUAUUAUAAUAUCGGUACAUGGUUUGAUACAGGACAGCUCGGCAUUCCGAGUAUUGGUAUGAUGGGGUUGGUUGAGUACCGAUAGAGUACGAUAUGGUACCGACUAGUAAAACAAACUUUGAGCCUCCAACUUGAUUGGUUAAAAUUUGAGAAACAAUUCCAAUGAAGAAUAUAUAUCAAGAGAUCAAAAACUCAAUAAAUUGCUCUUAUUAGUUUUUUACCAAACAAGAUCUGGUAUUUUACAUGGAAAGUGGGGAACCUUUUUUUCUUCUUCGACAUUCUUCUAAUAAAUUGAAAGGCAUGGAGGAAUACUAGUUAUGCAGGAACAACAGGAAAACAGUUAAAAGAUUAAAUAAAAAAACAGAAAAGGAGUGGCAACAGAUCAAGUUUUGCAGAGCCGAUUCCUAUGAUAGUCUAGUUCUGCAUAACCAACCUCAAACAGUUCCUUAAACAAUUAGAGGAAAAAGUGAUUCAGAAUAUAUGUUUUGUCUACAAUCCUUAGCAACUCCAUCUACAACUUACCUGAAUCAUGAGAACAGCAGCAACACAGGAUGAAAUCAACUCUGACAGGAUUUGAGGCACAUCUGCAGAUGAAAAUUGCACUCGUGGAUUGAGCACAUGAGUUAUUGCUGGCUGUAAUAUACUUGAAACUGCCUGAUUCUGACUAUUGCCAUUUCCUGGAUGAGGAAUACAUCUUAUCCUUGAUUUGCUAGAUUCAGUUCUAAAGCACUGAUCAUUUUUAGAUUCUAAAGCCUCUUCAAUGCCGGUGAGAGCAUCUUCCCCAUUCCUCAGAGAGGACAUAGCCUGAAGAGUUCAACAGGUCAUGACAUGCUAAACCCAAACAUAAUCCAUAAUCAUGUAAAAACAAGGCAAACUGUGAAGUACAUCUAUAUAAUCAUGGGUCGUGAUAAAAAAAAAACUCCUGAGAGUCAAGAAAGUGAGCAAUUUUUCCAGGUUGAUGAAACUGAAGAAUAUAGUCAUGUCAUUGAAACAUGAGAUGACUCCCAUAUGUCCAGAGGGUGGCUCGGCAUGAAGAAAAUAAUAGACUACACAUAUUGGCAUGUCCUAUUUUUCUUAACACAUAUAAAUUCAAUAAGGUUAAGAUUAAGAAAUCAAGACAAUCACCAUCUGUCUUACCUGCACAGCUACAUCAACCAUUUUCCUUGCUUUAAACAUUGAAUUUUCCACAAUUUCUACUACCUGAGAUCCUUCAUCAUGAUUGUAAAGGUCAAAGGUACUGAAAGUGCCAGAACAUCCAGCAAGCCCUGAUUUUUCCGUUGCCCUAUGCAAUGGAGAUGCAGAGAUUCCAUGGAAAGUGUUACGUUGUCUUAAAACAAGCAGGGCAGAACGAACCUGAAAGUUAUGGCAGUUUGCUAUAAUUCUGUCCAGAGGCCUCAAAAAAGAAAAAGAGAAAAAAGCCAUUGUGACAUGUCAAAGUAUCAGGCAAAAAGGUCCACAAAGAACUUGCCUGGUCGCUGGCUUCUCGUAGCCAUGAGACUACCAUAGUGUUGUACUGCUUUCUGAAGUGUCCUAAGUCCCUUUCUGAAUCUCCAUCCUUUUUCUUUCCAGCUGCUUCCUCAUUCAUUUCCCUCAGUUCCAUCAGCAGUGCUUCCUGAAAAAGGCAAACAAAGAGAGUUCCUUAGACAAUUAUAGAAAGAAGCCCAAAGGUUCGCUGUUUCGGUACCAAACCCCAUACUGGUGCUAUCCUAUUACAGUGUCGGUAUGCAGUUUGAUAAAGUAUGACAGUGUCAAUAGAAUACGAUAUCCCAUACCAGUACAGUAUGGUAUGCCCUGUACUAGGUGGUAUAGGGCGGUAUGGCAAAGUUAAACUUGGAAGAAGCAAACUACCAUAUGUGGAUGAUGAGAUGAAAGUUUUGUAAAAGAUAUUAUUAGAAAAAAUCCCAGUGAAAACACAUGAACAGUCAGUAGUACAAUAGAAAAUAAUAAUCUAAUAGAUGUAGAAGCACUUGAAAAAUUAAAUAAGUAAAUACAUCAAUAAACCCAAUGGGCAAUGGAAAUUAAACCAUCACCUUCAUUCCAAGUUCUUGCAUGUCUCCAACUAUCUAUUGUGUGUUCGAAUUUAGAAAAAAGAUGGGUCCAAGUAGUCUGCAUAUAAAUUUAUAUGCACAUUCAUGACCUACUGCUAAUUUCCGAUCAAAAUUAGACUACCCCACUUCUGUGAACCUUUUCCUCCUAAGGGCCUAGUUCGGAUGAUCUUGUAAAACCCCACUUCAUGGGAUUGCCAACACCAAAUCAGUACAUGAGUGCAAAAUCUACUGUAUCAAUAAGCAGAACCAGAACAACCCAAUCUGCGGUCCAAAGGGAAAAAAAUCUAGGCUUGGACAUAUGAAGCCAAGAGACAGACCCAAUUACGGUUAUAUAGGGUCAAAAAAGAAAUUUGAAAUGAUAAUAUGGCAUACUACUAAUAUAACCAUAUCAUAAACAAAUUCCACAUGCCAAAGCAACCAGGGAACCUUUCUUUCCUUUCUCCUAUCUCCUCGAUAGUAACAAUCACGGACCAAUCCUCGUAAAUCUUCUUCUCUUUAAAACAAACAAACAAUGAUGGCGAGACCAGAAAGCUGUGUGUGUGUGUGUGUGUGUGUGUGUGUGUGUGUGUGUGUGUUUACAUCUGGGGAUUAUACAAGCAGGCUUUUUUGAGCCCAAGUCAAGUCAAGCCAACUCUUCUAGUCUAAACAACAAAUAUUUAGAAAUUUCAGAGACUUUAUGGAUUUAUCGAGAAGGACAUCAUCUAAUGGAGUGAGAUGAGAAUCCAAUGGGUGGUCAUCAUUUCAUAUUUAAGUAGCUCGACUAAUGGACAUUAGACAGGCAAACUAGAAACCAUAAAAUGAAGCUGACUUAAAAAGUCAUACUGUUUGGUCAUGUUCUAUUGAUGAUGCAAAACUGAUAAGCAUGAUUAAUAGCGACUGAGAUGACUCAGCAAUCAUCUUGGUACCAUGUACCCUCAACCUUGUUAUGUCACAAUACUUGUAAUUUCCUUAGACUGAUUAUUUUCCCACUCCUUCUCAACCUAACCUUUUCACUUAUUCUUAACUAAAUUAUAACAAUUUACUCAAAAACCAGAUGCAGAUAAAAGAUACAUUCGAGUUCCCCACAUUGACACCUUUCUUCCUUAAAUCUAAAUUUUUCAUUAAUAAUUGAUUUUUGUGAGUACAUUCAAACAUGAUUCAUGAUGUAUGGACGUGCCAACCGGUAUAUUUUCUGGUAGCAAUAUUAUAACAUGUAUUGAUAAAGAUAGGUAUUUCUCAUGGUAUAAAUACUAUUCUUUAAUCUCUAUACAUAAUGUUACAUGCCAACCUAAGCUUUAUGUCACCAUUCAAUAGUUAAGUGGUGACAUAACAUGUAUUGAUAGAGAAUUAGAGAUAUGUAUUUCUCAAGGUAUAACAUGUAUUGAUAGAGAUCGGUAUUUCUCAUGGUAUGAAUAUUCUCCUUUAACCUCUAUACAUAAUCUUACAGGCCCACCUAAGCUUCUUGUCUCCAUUCAACAAUUAAAGUGGUCAUAUAGGGACCCACAUAAGCAAGAAGUCUGGUUGGAUUUGAGGUGGAUUUUGCAAACAAAGAAUGCUCAAACAGCUAACUAGACAAACAAGAAAAACCAAUGAUCAAAGUAUGGAUCAGAAAACUCAUUUUGGAGUCUAUAUUCUGUACUGUAAUGCAUCCAGAAACUUCUUUGACAGUGGUUACGGAAGAAUUUUCUCACCUAUCAAAAAGACCAAAAGACUGCAUAAAAAGCAAGAAACGAUAUGUUAAAUUUCAGAUGUAUAUUCCUGAGCAGAACAAGAACAUUGUUUCAGUUUCUAAACAGCAGUUCCGAUAUAAAAGCUGCGAAACUAUGUUUAUUAGAAAAUAUGCAAAUUUCUGAUGUAUGCAUAUAUUGAAUAGUUUUAUAUAGUAUUUCAGGUGAUGAAAAUGAUUUUAAUAUCAAUUUCCUCAAAGAUCUCGGGCUAUUUAAUACAACUCAAAACAAUUGUUAUACAUGAACAACAUUUCAUUUGUAUGGAGUUGCCAUUGAUGAAUGAACAGAGUACAUAAAUAUAUAUGCUUUUCAGUUACUGCACAAAGUGUGUAAAAAGACACUAAUUUAAAUUUUUACUUUUAGAAAUACUAUCCAAUAGUUGAAUUAAAACUACUGUAAACAACAAGAAAACAGACUUUAAUGCAUUCAAGGUACCCAACAAGGUCACCUGUUUAUUCAAAGCACAAGUCAGCUCCACAAGGGCUCUAACAUCAGCUUCCCUUUCUUGGAUCUGUGCCGAUGUAUAAGGUUGAUUGCCAAUCGUAUGUGGUGCAACAACAGCAACUUCACUUGCAGAAUAUUUGCCCAGUGCAUUGGCAUCUUUCAUAUCACCCUGUCAGAAAGGAUUUUAGUUGCAUAAUUGAGUUAAUGGUGGACAAUAUCAUCCUCUUGAAUGAGUAAUAUCAUCAUCUUGCAUGAAUAGAUAUACAAAAUGGAAAAGACAGGCAACCUUAGCCUGCUUAUUCAAUGCAAUCCAUGGAUAUUUAGUUGAGGUCAAAAUAGAAGCUCCAUCUGCAAUCUCCAAACUCUUUUUUAGAGAAAACUUUGCAGAACUAUCCAUUUUCAGUUCCAUUAUAUGACCAUCAGGCUUUUUACCAGUAAAGUUGUUGCAUAAAUGGUAACCGACACCAUUCUGUUUUCUAAGAUCUUCAGGCAUAUUCUCCCAUGGAUUUAGAGGCAUACAGUCAAUAUCCUGAAAAAGAUAGAUUUAGUUUUAAUAUGAAAUGCAGCCACAAAACUCCCAUGAAUGUUAAGAAAAAAAAUAAAAUAUGAUGGAUGGACCUUCAACUAAUCUUCAUGUCUUGAAAAUAAAAAUAGCAAUGAUAAAUUGAUAAAUGCACAAGAAACUGAAGAAACAGGAUUUAGCUUGCCCAAAACCUCUGCCUGUAUGAUGGCCUGCUACCCAGACACAGGGCAAUUCACCCCUAGCAGCAACUAUGAGGCACUAAUCCAUGUUUCUUCCAGUUGUCUAGAGAGUUUGUCAUAAUUUUAGCAUGUUCUCAGGUAAUACUACGAUACGAUAACUAAACAAGUAUUUAAAUUAAGUUACUUCUGUACUAAACAAAAUUUAUACAAUCCCAGCAUGCAAUAUUUAGACCAAGGCUAGAAUGGAAAGGGAAAUGCAGAGCAGCAGAAGUAUAAAUAAGUCUCAGUACAUACCAGCAAAAGCUCUUGAACGUAAACUAUACUUCAUUAUUGCAUCACAAUAUGUUAGAAUGUUAAACUCAAUAUUUGUAUUCAGCAUCUUAAAAUUAAUCAUCAGAUCACAAGUUUAUAUGCUUGAUCGUUGCAGCAGAGAAACCAAUGAAGGGACAUGGAAGGGGACCCAACUCAAGAUUAGAUCAAUGUUACAAAUCUUCUAUACAUCUGAAGAACAAAGGAUAAACAAGAUCGGACUUAGGAUCACAAUAUGGUUAAAACUUAGAUUUGUGAGCUGAAUAGAUCAAGAAUGGACCAGUCAAUCUACCAACAGUCAAUUUGCAGGGAAAUUUCUAGACAUUCCAAGGAGCACUAACCUAUGUUAGACCAUUUCCUGAUUUGCUAGAUAAUGAUCCAAGCCAUCAACACACGCAAAUUUCCAUCAUUGCCUUCCAUGGAGCUCUAUUGGAUGAAUGCAACACACUUGAAUGCAUGAUACACCGAAGAUUGAACGAAAGGGUAAGUUCCUCAUAUUGAAAUGAAAUGGGUGAUCAACACAAAGAAUAAAUCAUAAUAAAAGUUAACCACACAAAUAAUAAGAGAAGAUUUGGUGGUCAAGUAUGCACAAAUUCCAUCUGCAUGAUCUGCUUCAAAUUUAGCAACAUGCUGAUUCACUAAAAAGGGGCCUAAAUGUAUAGCGGAGAUGAUCAAGAAAUUGAACUUCCAAGCAACAAUGAGGAUCAUAUUGUUUGGACUUUGGACCAUUGUCUGAAGAGUCUUGUUUGCCACAUGCUGCACGUCGCAUCUCAAGGUGGGCUCCAUGACAUACCUUAAGAGGGUAUUUAGUAUGGGGUGGUCUAUCCAAGAUUAAGAGUGAUAUGCGUGGAGAUAAUGAGAUCACUAUGUUUAGUUGCACCAUGGUGAUCCUAUGUGGCAAUGACUUCAAAUCAAUCCCACGUCUUAAAUCACCUCCCAACCCAAUGAUGGGAUAUCCAUCCUCGAGGUCGGAAAUCCAAAAUUAUCCUCAAACAGUGAUUUUAGGCUGAAAUAUAAGAACAAAAAUACCCCUUAGUCGAGCAAAAAAAAAUUGAUUAUCAAUAUACCAUUAAUCAAGGAUCACCGAAUCAAAACCGGACCUCAUGCCAGCCGACCAGCGGUACGAGUCGGUAUGCCCUUAUAUCGGAUCCAAACCAAUAUGGAAACAACAGAUAAACCGGAGAGGAAAAGAGAGAGAGGGGAGGGAGGGAGAGGGAGAGAAGGAACAAAUGGCCAGUAGAGAUGCCUGCGGCGGCCAUCGGAAGGCCAUUAAGCCGAGGCCUCCUGGGAGGGGAAAGGAGGGAGGGGAAGGCAGCGGAGAGGCCGCCGAAGGGUAGUUUAGUGAAGUUGACAAACGCUUUGCCGACUUCACUAUGUUGGAUUUUUUUAAAACAUUCAACGAAACAUGGGUGAAGCCUCUAUUUUGCACCCUAUGGCAACCGCAGAGGAUUUUUGGGCUGCUCGACGGCCACCAAACAGUCCUCUGACGGCCUCCCCGCCGCCUUCUGCUCCCUCCUCUCUCCCCCUCUCUUUAUCUCACCUCUUCUUAAUCUCCGAAGAUCCAGAGUCUUAGCAAUCUCAAUGAGCCACCACCAGCCUUCUCCUCCCCUCCCCUCAUCUCUCUCUUCCUCUCUUUCCUUCUCACUCACUUCAUUUUCGCGGGCAUUCCAAAUCUAACAACCAAAGCGCACCAGUUAGCCGCUAGUACGGUUCGACAUGCUCCAAACCAUCCGGUUCCAACCGGUUCGACGAACCAUAUCAUUAAUAUAUUAUAUCAAUUUGUAUAUAUGAUAUUAUAUUAUAUUUGAUAUCAUAUAUUAUACUUAUGAUAUAUAAUAUAUUAUAAUAUAUUAUUAAUCAAUUAUUUUCAUAUUAGGAUUCAAUGAUAAUUUGUAAAGUAGAGUAAAAAGAAUCUUAUUAUACUUUAUAUUUAUACAAUAAAAAUAUUUAAUAUAUUACUUCUAUUUGCCUUAUUUCUCUAAUCAAAAUAAAUAUUCAUAUUAAUAAAUAAUAUAUUAUAAGUAUAAAUAAAAAUAUUAAUUUUAUAAUAAUAAUUAAUAUAUUUUUAUGGAUUAAUAAUUUAUAGGACUUAUAAAUAUAUGUUUAUAGAAUAUAUUAAUAAUUAAUAUAUUAAUAAAUAUAGUGAUAUUUUAUUUAUAAUAUGUUAUAUAUUAUUAAUAAAUAUAUUUUUAUUGAAUAUAUUAUGGAUAGUUUUGGUAUUAUAUAAUCGGUGAUCUUGAAUUUUCAUAAAAUACUAAACAGGUUACUCGUAGAUACCUAAGGAUCUUUAAUUCCUAGACCAUGGCCUACCAAACGCAGUGAUCUAUCUUAGAUCACUACUGAUCAUAUCACCACAAGAUUCGGAUCAUCAGUGAUCUUAGAUAAAUGUGGUAAUCCCAUUUGGCUCACCAAACACUACCUAAAGUUCAUAGUCGAGGUUGUAUCCAUUGUAGCAUAAGCAUUACAUAACGAGACUUCUAUAAGGCACACAUCUUGUACAUCAUGUUUCACCUUAUAUAGGAGGUACACAAAUCAAGCACUUGAUUAUUUCAUGGAAGAAAAGGGAUUGAUAUUUUCUCUUUCUUAGAUUCAUGAAUGAAGCCUCCACAUGAAGAUUCAAAUGCUAAGCCGAAGUAUUACAGGUUUUGUUAUUUUACACUAACCACUAAGUGCAAUUUCGGUGUUAUGAUCCUGAUAAGAGCAAUAUGUUGUGUACCUUACUUUGCUUCUUAUGUAUGCUAUUUAUCAUAUGUCUAAGAAUCUCGUAGAAUCAUGUGCACCAUUUCUUUUUUUUUUUUUUUUGAGAAUCUCUUAAGAAUAUUCAUAAGGAUUACGUCUGAUACUUAGGGACCACCUCUCCCAAUGUAAUUUUAAAUCCUAGCCCCAUGCCCUCCUUACAUAUAAGGAAUAAAGGAAUUAUUCAUCUCAACAUAAGGUUUGCAAAAGGGUGAAAAACACUGGUCCUAGAUGGACUCAACAACAAUACAUGGAAAUAAGGAAAGAAAGUGAUGACAAUACAUUCAGGAACUUGCUACAUAGUCCACACGAUGGCUAUUCUAUGAUCCAUCAAGAUAUUCCACAAUGAAGCAAAUAAUUCAACUAGAACCCUCUUCGAAUCACACAAUUCCCUUGAAACAUGAAACCCUUCCAAAGCAAUAGAACAAUAGCAAGAAUCAAGAUUACCUCAUUUCAGCAAAGAAUGAACAAGAGAUUACUUCAAGGUGAGUCAUAAAUGAUGCCAAGUUCAGAAGACAACACCCUUAAGAUAGAAAUGCAUUGCUCCAUUGUUCUUGCCUUGCUUACUUCUCUGUAUAACUUCAGCACUCAUAUUCUCUUCUCAACAAGCUUCGCUCUAAUUCUAGGUUCCCUUUCACAGCUUGCUAGUCAUUUCUAUAGAGAUUACACAAUUCCACAAGUCAAAACUCCAAUAAACAGGCAAUUUAAAACUAUCUGAAAACAGCAGCAGCAUUGCUAUCCUGUAAUGUGAUUAUGCCUUUCAUCAAGAACACCAAAACUAUGUCUUAUAUGGUAAACACAUCCUUGAGUCACCAAAACUCAGAGAGUAGUAUAUCCUCUUUACAUAACAUUCUUUAAAGCUACAUUUUGCAAUCCCUCCAAAAUGAGUUAAUCAUGGUCGGUGCCCAUUAAGUAAACCAUCAAAUCUGAUAUCUCCCAUGCUGAACAUGCAACCUUUUUGUUUUUGAACCCAAGCUUGCACCUGCUGGCUUUCAUAACCUUAGGCAAUCUAAAAUUUGAAAAAAGCACAAAGCAGGGCAGUCAUACAUCUUCAUUCCCCCAUUUUGAACUUUUCUUUCCCUUUCUUUUUUUUAAUUUCUUAUGCACAAUAUCUAUUUUUUUUCCCCAAAUUUCUUGCCUUUUCUUUGAUUAAUGAUAAAUUUCUUAGGAGUUGCUUAAGUUUUGGCUGGAAAAAUUAGACAAAUGGAUCUUCUGAGCAGGCAAAGAAAAGAUAAUCAAAUAUGAUGAUCAUAACAACACAGCCACAACAUCAGGUAGUGCCCACAGGAAGAUAAAUUCCGGAAGCAUAAUGUCAAAACUUUUGCUUCUUUGGUCCACCUACACUCUUCUAGGAAAACUAAUAUGACUCCUUAGACUUCAAUAAUAGUUCGGACUGCCGGUUUUCAAAAUAUGUGGGAUUUUGUCAUCCCAUGUUCAUGAGUAAUUUUGGACACAAUGAAGCUGUCAUCUUUGUGUGGGUUCACAGGAUAUGUUGUUGGGAUAUUCCCCCCUUUAUGACAUGUUACAUGGCAAUGUGUGCAUGAUGCAGGAGUGCUCAUAUUGUAGGAACUCUAAAAUCUACACAUAAAACCAGUGAAUUCUAGCUUCUACACAUAAAUUAGUGCUAAAAUAGUACAAGCUUUUGAUGGACAUCAGCAAAACAAGUGACAAAUCUAGUCACAAGUCCAGCAUCAUAUAUAAAGGCUUAAAAAGAGCAUCCCCAAAACCACAAAUUAAUUAAAACAUCCAAGGUAGAUGCAACUUCUCGGUGCUUACUGAGAUUGCAAGAUACAAUGAACUCAAAUUAAGAAACUAAAGUAUAAAAGAUUUAUUACCAUCACAAACUCAACCCCUAGAUCAGGCCUGUCAAAUUGAACCCUGCACUGGUCUCGAUCAACUGUCAGUAUACUUCCAUCAUGAAUUUCACCUUUUCUUGGGUGACGGGCAAUAACACGCUGACCAACUGACAAAGGUCGGGCUAAAUCUUCUGGAAGCCCCUCCCUCACACCAGCACGCAAUUCAUCAUAAUAAGUCCUCACUGACUCACGAUACUGGUUUAGUUUCUCCCUUUCUUCCGACAAAAAUUGUUUAGAUAAUCGACGCGGUUUGCCAAGAGAACUGUUGAUAACAAAAUAAAUUGGGUAAAAGCUAACCAAGAAAAUAUUAAGCCACUGUAAGUAUUGAUUAGAAAUAGAUAGCCAGUAAAUACCUUCGUACAAUGCUCCACUCACAACGAGUUAAUCUGGGUACAUGACCCAAUCUUACAUAAUUUAAGUAUUCCACAUACUCACUUCUAGCAAACCAUGGAUAAUCAAUUGAGCUGUAGAACCACUCAAAUGCACACCAUCUACGUAGUAAUUGCGAAGAUAGGCAGUGAGAAAGUUUUCCCUGCAAUGAGUUAAUGAUUUAGUAUAAAAGGCUAGAAUUUUAUAAUCCUUAACAUGCAUAGGAUACUGAAUACCUAACCUCCAGAUCAGCUGCCUUGCUAUUGGCAAAAUGUGAGCAUGCACUCAGGCCUUGAUCUCCAACUCCAUCAGAAAAUCUGGACUUCCUCUGAGCCAUUGCUUUCUGCAAACUUAUUUUACGCCUGUUCCUAGUUCUGGUUGGAACACUAGGAUGGUUUGCAGCCAAAACUUGUGGAUUUGGUUCGGUUAAGCUUGUCACUCCUCUGCCCAAAUCAGUACUUAAAGAUGAGCAACCAGGCAUCUGAAUAUUUUUUCUUUGUUUUGCCAGUGGAACGAGUUGGCCACUAGAGGAGGUUUUCCCUUCUUCAACUGAGACCUAAAAAACCAAGGUAACAAAUAGAAUUCUAGUCAAAAUAAAAAGACUUAACAAUAUAAAAUUUCAUGGUACAAAAGCCAAAUACUUGCUUUAUCUUCAAAAGUAAAAGGCAACAUAUGGAAUCCAAAAUUUAAAGAAUUGAUGGCACAAGGCAUGAACUAGUGAGUGGUGACAUAGCUUCACUCAAGCAUAAAGAAGAAACUGCUGGAAAAGGCGCAUAAGCAGCUUAGUUAGCAGCCAAAGAGUAUUUUCUGGCUUUGAUUCUUCGGACCAGAGAAGGGAGUGCGAUACACUGGGUUUUAAAUACUAGUACCAAACCUCAUACAACUUUUGUAUCAGAAUGGUAUGGUAUUAGUAUGGUACCAAUACUGGUCAUAUGCAUAAAAAAUGACCAAUUCUAAAAAUUUAAAAAAAAUGAAAAACCAUAUAUGCUAACCAGUCCUGGUGGGCAUACGAUAUGGACUAGCAUGCAUCAAUACAGCCAAUCAUACAGGCACAACUAUUUUAGUGUCCCAGCACCCAUGCCAAUGCAGGUUGAGCACCGAAAUGGUGGGACACCAAUCAUACCAUCUUGUUUUGGCAGUUUUUGAACCAUUGUGAAUAAUUGCCAAUCCUCCGCAACCAAUCCAAGGUUAGUUGUUCGCCUCCCUCCUAUCCUAGUUAAUUGGUUACAACUGAAUGUGUACAAAAGAUAAAAUGCAAAUGCAGAACUAAUGUAAAACAAUGUUCACUGACUUGGAACUGAACCCCAUGCUGGCCAACCAGGUACGAGUUGGUAUUGUCCCAUACCAAACCGUACCUGAUCCGAACUGACACGAAAACAAGGGAGAACCGGGCAGGAAAAGAGAAAGAGGGGGGUUGAGGAAGGGAGAGGGAGGGAAGGAAAGAGAGAUCAGUGGAGAUGCCAGCGAUGGCCACCGGAGAGCUAUGGAGGUCCUCAAAGGGCCACAAGGGCUCCGCAGUCCACGAGAGGAGAUUAGAGAGAGAGAGAGGGGGGGAGGGAGAGAAAUGGAGGGAGGGGCAAGCGGUGAAUGGCCGCUAAGUGGUCGUUGUGGCCGCCAGACAACCAAAGUCGGCCCCAUGGACGCUGUAGGUUCGAAACAAGGGCAACCCACCCCUAUUUAUUGCGUUUUUUUUUUUUAACACCCAUUUGUCGGCUUCAUUGUACAUCACAUUAAAAAAAAUAUGAUAAAUAAGGACGGGUCGCCCCUAUUUCGAAUCUGAAAUGUCCGUGGGGUCGAUUUCGACAGUCCAACGGCCACAAUGGUCACCCUACGGCCUCUCUGUCGUCUCCCCUCCCUCCAUUUCUUUCCCUCCCCACCUGUCUCUCUAAUCUCCUCUCGCAAGGACUGUGGAGCCUCAGAGGCCUCAGUAGACCUCCGACAACCUUGGCGGGCCACCACCAACCUUUCUCUCUCCUUCCCUCCCCCUCUCUUCCUUUCUUUCCUUCUCCCUCGCUCCAUUUUCGUCGGCAUUCCAAAUCGAACACCUAAGCCACACCAAUUGGCCGCCCAUGUGGUUUGGCAUGCCCCAAACCACCCGAUUCGGGGCAGUUCGGCAUUCUAUGAUGUAAAAAUUGUUAACUUCAAAUUUCUGAGUCCAUGUUUGAGAAUAUUAUCGCAUUAGUGAACUUGUAGAGAAAGCAGAAAUGAACUUUACCACUAUGUAAACUAUAAAGGGUUCACAAGUAGUCACACCAAACAUUUUCUUUUUCAAUAUCACUUGCAUUGUCACCUAAGAUGUGUUUUAGUUAGGCCUCGUUCUUUUGUUUGUAUGAAUUCCUAUGCCUUUCUUAUGAGCCUCAAUUCGGAAAAGAAGGAAGCAAGAGCCCUUUGUCUCCUCCCCAAUUUUUCAAGAAUCCCAAUUGGCAAGGGUAACUCAUAUGGCAUAUACGCAGAUUUAUUUAUUUUUUUUAGCGCCAGCAGCUGAGGAUUAAUUUUCCUCCCACAUCCCUGCUAGUCCAUCAACUUCUCUUGAACCACUCACAUGCACUGCAUGUGCAAACAAGCAUGCUGCUGCCUAUCAGAUACAGCUAGUUGCAUUGCAUGUGCCAGGUUCUAAUUCAAAAAAUAAAAUUGCCUUACUAUACACAUGUAGAGAUGAACAGUAGAAUUAAAUGCAAGCCUUGAAAGUUUAUUAACAUCUUAUUAACAUAAUGAACGUAUAGAAAUCACUCUAUCCACUUAAUAAAGCAGGUUCGCUAUUGACAAGAACUUUAGCCAGAAGCUUUAUUGCUACAGAGAUCUGACAAGGACACCAAAAAGGCAAAUGCUAUAUCAGAAAUUAGUGAGAGAGAGAUUGCACUACUCAUUUCAUCUACCUACAUGAGGUUCUAGCCAUUCAAACCAUUUCACAUUAGUGUACAACCACAUCCAUAUAAACAAAAGAAGAUACUUUCACCUCUUUCUCACAGGUUGUGUAUCUAAUUCCAUGUUCAUAAAACAAGAACCAAAACAAAGAAACAAUAAUCCUAUAUCAGUGGCCAUAGAUCAGGAAGAGAUGAGUUGUAGAAAUAGGUCUUACCAUGCAAUAUAUAUACAGAUUAGCUAUCUCCAAGCCAUGUGAUGUUACAAAAAGACUAACUUCUCAAAAUCAUCUUAAGAGAAACAAAAAUACUUCCACAAGUUGCUGUAAGAAUUCAAUGAACCAUAGGAGCUAAAUUUGAGAUGAGAAAAGUAACAUGCUCCACAUAAGACUUGUUGUGCACCCAAAAAAAAACUGUUUAUCAAUAUACAUUGUAGGGUUCAAGGCUUCAAGCAAUACUUCUUAAGCACAUUUUUAACAGACAUUCAUCUCAACAUGAUAAGGAUGAGCAUACUCCACCAAAAUCUAGAAUAUUGCACUUUGUCGACUAGUUAAUUAAACAUGUCCUGAAAGAGCAACUUCAAUUACAUGUUAGAUUGACAGUCUACAAGAAGCUGAUAAUUAUGUCUACUGUGCCUUACAGUACAGGGUUGCAUGUGUUAUUCUUGUAUAACUACUUAAUGAAAUUUAAAGCUUCGUGGAGUUGACACAGGAACAUUUAGAAUAUGUGGCUGUAAGCAAGGUUUUAAAAUAGCAAUACUGAAUUACAUACCAUUUUCCUAUCAGAAUAGAGCAGUAAGUAAUGAUAUAAAAAGAGGAAAAACUACACCACGCACUGGUACAGCAGCAUCGGUAUGCACUGGCACAGACUGAUAUAGACCGAUACAAUACAGGUACAUAGGACAUUGGCAUCCCGACACUGGUACCGGUGCCGGUUUCAUGCCAGAAUGGUAUGGUACAAGCACCAUCCCCUGCCGGCGGUUUUUGAGACCAUGGACAUAAGCAAGUACAAAGAGAAUCUGUAUAUUUAGAUCACAUCAAUUGUGAACCCAACAAAAUAAGCAACAAAGUUUCUGAAUGCAACUGGAGAAAAAUAAACACGUUCUUCUAAAAUUCACUAAGAUGAUAUUCAAUUUGAAUUUCAGCUUUUGAAAUUUGCAACAAACAAAAAAAAAAAGAAAAAGAAAUCAAAAUCCAUAUCACGCAACAAGAGACUUAAAAAAGGAUUACUCGUAAUGGAGAUGAAUGGAUCCAAUCAACUUAGUUUCAUAAAACUCUUACCAUUUCUUCUGGGUGCUUCCACUUUCUUUUUGACAUCUCACUGAUAGAUGAGUAGACUGUCUUCCUUGCUUCAAAGAUUGAAUUUUCGUUAGGCGAGAGAUUCAUAUGUACACUUUUUUGCUGAACAACAUGAACCCCAACAUCUGAAGAAUAUCCCCUAUCCUUUAUGACAGAGAUUCUGGAUUUAUCACUUUCUUGCUUUGCUGUCAUUGAUACAGGCAUGUUAAAUGUGAAUGCUGAAUCAACACUUCUUUUUUGCUCGUUAUCAUGUUCAGAUGACUCUAGAGAUAAAACAACAAAACAAAAUGUACAUGUCUAUAUGCCUGAUUUCACACCAAAUGUCUAUAUCAAUAAAAAAAACAACCAAAUUAGAUAAUCACCAAAUUGUAAUGUAUGUAUGCAUCUCUCUUUAUGAAUGUUAUACUUGUUGGGACUAUGUAACAUAUUCAUAGGCUUCUAGUUUAUACUUGUUCACCAAAAAAUAUAUUAUAGACUGAUCAGCAAUUAUCUAUAACGAGGAAACAAUACCCAAAAACACAUAUCUGAUUUUACAUGGAAUAUAGAUAAGAUCUGGUGCACAGCUAAAUGGAGAAAAAGAAACAAAUUGCAAAAAGUUAACUAAAUGACAACAAAGGUAACAAGUUCUCAUGUUCCUGAGUGAGGAUGCAAGUAUCUACAAGAAAGUUAAAGAAGCCAUGGAUGAUAUUUAUUUGCUCAGAAGAGGAUUAGGAAGUAUGAUGAAGAAAAAGAUACAACAUCAAAAUUCAAAAAUUCUAAAUUACCAUAUCUAACAUCUAUGAGUUUUGGUUAGUUAUAGAAUUUAGGAAUAAGAAAACUAACUAGAUUUAGAAGCAGAAUUGGGCAACAGAAUCUUCACAGACAAAUCUGCCAAAGUCUGUAGAGCAUCUAGGGCACAGCUUUCAUCUACAUUUAGAGAAAAAAAAAAGUCAACAAGAAUAUCUAACGUUUCCAUAAAAUUUUCAAUCAUUGAAUAAGGAACAUAUACUCAAAUUUAUGCUAGUUUCAAGAGAAUAACAAAAUAAAGGAAAUAAACUUAAAGAUGACUUUAAAGCACUAAAACAGUUGAGUAUAUUGUAAUCCAAGCAUGAUAUAUUACAUCAAUAAUAAUUUAAAUCUACAGAAUUUGUUUACAAAUUCAAGUUUCCUUUCUGGAAGUUUCUGAGACUUGCAUGUGAGGACAACAAUCAAAUGAGAAGGACUUUUUUCCUGAGAAAAAAGGAGGGGUUUCCCAUCCAACCACCCAUGUGUAGUGGGAUUCGAACCCACGUCAUUUGUUACUGCCCCAAUAAUUUUACCAACUUGAUAAGUCAUUGGAUAAAAAAGUAUAUUUUGACAAUUAUGAAGGCCUUAAAAGAGUUUAUUUUACAAAACUAAUUAACUGGAUAAAGAACUACAAUUGACACUGGAAGAGUGAAUACAGGCAUUAUCUUAUGAUUGCAUGACAAAAUAUCAGAAAGGAAAACCAUCUUAUAACUACUAAGGAACAGAAGAUAAAUGGAAGGUCAUAACUGAAAAAUGCAUUAGAAGGCAAUAUACCUGGAGAAAAGAGUUCGUGAAUUUUCUUCCCUGGAUCCUGCAAACCUAUGGCAGUUUUUUGUUCUCUAACUUCUGUGUCAAUUUCAUCUUUAACAUGUCUGACAUUAUGGCCUUCUUCAGCACCACUACAAGCCUCCCUUGCAUCAUCAAAUUGGUGGAUCUGGAUGCCUGGACCUUUUGACUUCUUUCCUUGCAACUUCUUCACUUCACUUUGAAUUUUACGUGCACCAGUACCUUCAAUAUCUGAUAGUCUAGCAUCACUGGUGAAACCCCCAUUAUCUGCCUCCAUGCUUUGCAAACUACCUUGCACAGACUCGCGAUCAAUUCCAAAACUAUUGUAACCAGGAUUGGUCAUACCUGGUUGAGCAUGCUAAUCUCGUCGCAGAGAAAAAUAGAAAAAAAAAAAUUUGUUCCGUUCAUGAAUGGAAAAAUGAAACCAAGCAAUAUAUUGACAACAAAAAUGAAGAUAACUACCCCUGUUUUACCACUCCACAUGGGAGAGGAUCCGACACAUUCUGCUUUUCCAUCACAUGUCUCAGAAAUCUGUAAUGGCCUUCCUCUCUGAGAAGCUUCUGCUAAAGCUAAAACUGCACCAUGUACACCUUCAUCAGCAGAAGCAUCUUCCCUAAAAUUCAAAUCAUGCCUUUUUGGUGAAAUAAUAUUAUUUCUUUCAUUAUUGUCGUGCCAAAAUGGAACAGGGAAGCGAGGAGUCCUCUUUCCAACAGCACGAGGCCAAUUGCCGCCAAACAAAUCUGGCAUUAAGUUCCAAUAUAAAAUGUCAAUAACUAAAUUAUACGUUUAAACCUAACAGUUUCACAUGCAUAUAUCAUGCAGUAAGAUUAAAAGAGAAACAAUUUUCAAUUGUUAUAAAAGGAUAACAAAAAACUAUAGCUAAGAGAAACUAGUCCACGAGUUGUGCGACUCUUGAAACAAGAUUUCAAACAGUGAUGUUUUAACAUUUUGAAAAGCAAAGGCUAUUCCACAGAGAGCAUGCUACACAAUCCCUUGCAUUUCUCAAGAGAACAUGCUUGUGCUUCACUUAGGGUUUUCUGCAAGAGGGGAUGACAUGAAAACAGCCUGGGAAACAUGUAACUACCCACAAGAAAUUCCAAUGGGGAAGAACAUUAGCACAGUGCAAGAGUUGUUUCCUGUUUCCUUAAUAAGUUCAUUUUUCCCACCUUACGUUGUUGUCUAACAACUAUAUUGACUAUGAGAUAUUAAUCAAAAGACCAUAAUGCAACAAAUCAGAACAAUGGGGCAGCAAAAAUCAUUGUUAAAAAAUGAGGAUUCGAGAUUGUCCUGGAAGAGUGUGAAUUAGUUCACAAAAAGUACUAUAACAAUAAAAAAAAUGAUAUACAAGCCCAAUCCCAUGGUGUACCAUGUAACACAAGGAAUCCUUUCAUAAAGCUGCCAACAAAGCAUUCAGUGGGCCCAAACUCAAACUUAAACUACUGUUAUCCUCAAGUUUAUUUACUUUAACCACAACAAAAGAUGAAAAAAAGACCUUAAAUAUAUAAAAAGAUGGGUAAGAUAAAGGGUCUGACACAUGCACUAAGAUAAUAUCUCCAAAAGUUUGCAUGCAUACCAAAUUUUGGGCCGAAGGAGUAAAGCUCCUCUAGACAAUAUAGACUUACACCCUGUUUGAGAUUGCUGUUGGUAUUAAAACUUUUGGAAGUAGCGCAUUUGCUAGUAGAGCUUAAAACAAAAAAUUGUUUGAUGUUUAGUAACUGCAUUUCUAAAGUGCUGUGAAACUUUAAUAUCAGCUUGGUUACCCAAAUGAAAAAGUGCAUUUAGCAUAAGAAAAUGAUAAUAAAUGAUACUGCAUAUUGCUUUUAGUUUUUUAACUUUUUUGUAUGAUCAAGACCUGUUAUUACAUAGUAUUCUUAAUUUACAAAUAUUUAUUUUGAUUAGUAUAACAUUGUAGUAUAAUAGUAAAAUAUUAUAGGAAUAUAAUAAUGUUACACUAUUAAAUUAUGAUAUAAUAAUAACAAUAGUAAGUAUUAUCAUAAUAUUAGUAUAAUAUAAUAUAUUAUACUAUAUUAUCAUAUUGUAAUGUAACAUAAUAUUGUAUUGUAUAGUAUAAUAAAAUAAAAUAAUACAGUAUGAUAUAAUAUAAUAUAAUAUAAUUAUAUGAUAAUAUAUUACAUUACAUUGUAGAAUAUUACUAUAAUACAAUUUGAUAUACUAAAAUAUCAUAUCAUAUAUUAUAAUAAUAUAAUUUCAUCUAAUAAAACAAUAUAAUAUAACACAGUACAAUUUUUACUAUUACAUAUUAAUAUAUUGUUAUAUAGUAUAGUAUUGUUACAAUGUUAUAUUAUAUUAUAAUAAAUAAUAGUAUAAUUACAUGUUUUACAUCAAUAUAUUAUAAGUAUAAUUAUAAUUAUUAUAUUAUUAUAUGGUACAGUAUUAAUCAGGGUUUGCCAUACCGGGCCGAACCGCCCGGUAUGGGGCGUGCCAAACCAUCCCGACGGGGAACCGAGACGGUUCCGGCAUGCAAAACGGUACAUGCCGUUGCCGGGAAGAAAAAGAGAGGAAGAGAAAGAAAUAGAGAGAGAGAGGGAAGAAGGAAGAAAAAGAAGGAAGGGGAUCCGCCGGAGGGGCCGCUGGAGACCCUCCGGCGGGCAGCCGUGGCCGUCGGGCGGCGGNNNNNNNNNNNNNNNNNNNNGGUUCGGAACGGAACGGAGGCGUGACGUAUCGUACCGCCGGCCGGCCGAUCCGACCACCGGUACCGUUACAGAAAACCUUGGUAUUAAUACAAUAUAUGACCGUGAUAUUAUUAUUUUAGUAUAAAAUUAUAAUAUUAUAUUAAAGUAUUAUUUUCAUAUUAAUAUAAUAUAGUGUAAAGUAUUGAUAUAAUUUGUAUAUCUAUUUUAUCUAAAUAUUAUAAUAAAUAAUGUAAUUAUUUUUAAAUGAUAUAAUUCUACAAAGUUCCAGACUAUUUUGGUCACAUAAAUAGCUUCUUGACAAGCUUCAGAAAGCACUUUUGUGGAGGAGCUCCAAUUGGAACUUUUGCCAAGUAUGGGUUUUUCAACUUUUCAGGUUUUUUACCAAACACCUAUAUAUCGCCCAAAAGUACAUUUUGGACUCCGAAAAGCACUUUUGGCCCCUCCAAAAGCAAUCCCAUACAGGCCUCUAAGAAAUAUACCUACGAGACAAAGCCGUUCCCCCCUAUAACACUUCCAUGAACUAGAAAUACAAUUCCAUGCACAUUUUUACCAUAAUAUAUGUAAUUCAGAACCAUAUGCUUUCUCAUUUAAACUCUGCAAGUCACCUACAAAGGACUCCUAUGAGAACAAUAUUUAAGUUCGCAAGUCACCAAGCUGAUUCAAUGAACACCACCGAUAGUUAUCAAAGAACAAGGCCUCCACAUGGAAUUGUAUCAUCCAAGAUCUCAUAAUGCGCAAAACUAAGUCCAUUAUCUCAUAAUAGCCUGCAACAGCCUCGGCCCUCCUACAUUGUUAAGGGUUUAAAAUACCAUUGUCGCAACUCAAAUAACAAUAUACAACCCUAAUACUCUAACAUAACACAUAGCUCCAGUUUGAAAGAGUACAUUCUGAAUCAAAAGAAUGGGGGAUGUCAUUCAGUGACUUAAGGCCUACCAUUUGGAUAAGGUCCUUAGAUCACAUGUCCUCGCAGCUUUUAAGGAAUCAAUUUAACAUAGUCCAGCUCCUAUCUCAUAUUCAACUGGAAAGCAGAAGUGAAAAAGAUUGCCUACUUUCCAGGCAUAUCCUAGUUUCUUGAAGUAAAUCACUUUUCCCAAUCCUUAUUCAUGAUCUUGGUAACAGACGUGAAAACUACCAGACACUUAAAAUUGUAGGUUAACCAAAAUAUUAAUUCUUAGAAACGUCACAUAUAGUGACUCAAGUUUAUGCAGUUCCAAAGGGAUUUGCAUUAAUAUCAUGAAGCACCAGGGAAUCUUCUAACAGGACAUUCUUAUAUUUCGGGGGGAAAAGGAACCAUGACUAAAGUUUAAGAAUUGGUCCUACCAUCUAUCACUUCCACAUUAGCAGAAACAUUCUGAAAUAGAAAAACUUGCGGAACAGUCUAUCACUCUGUCUCAAGUUCAAUUCUGGAUUCUAAUCCCAAUUUCAAUAUUAAAAUUAUAGCCAGAACUCAGCAGUAUGUCCCCACCUAUAUAUAUUAUAUUAAAGUUGCAUCACACUACAGGUGCUGCCAUUUUUAACAACUGCUUCACCAUGGCAAAGAAAUGAGGUCUAUGAAAGAUGAUACUGACAUCACCUUACAUCAAAUGUAUACACAUAGAAACAUAUACAAACAAACUAAGGAGGCUCCAGUGCUAUCACAGAAAUGUGGAAAUUUGACAUAGGGAAAUGACUGGCAAAACUUAAAGCAUAUUCUUUUUCUUAAAGUACUUAACCAACAUGUUGAUUUCCUUAAAUACAACAAAGAAUUAGAAUUAAAAACCUUGAGCUUAUUUAUUUAAUUAUGUCAUGAUAUCUCUGCAUCAUACACAUGGCACUACCCUCAUCAUUUCCUGAUUACCAUCUUUUUACAUGAAAAUAAUGGGCAAGGAACUUGCUCUGUGGCACUUACAGGGUACAGCAUAAUGUGAAAGUAAUCAUAACCUAACCAACAAGCCUUAUCCCAUGUACUUUCAACAACCUACCAAAUUACUUUCUCUGAUACUCCUUCCUAUUAAGUACAUCUCAUGUAAAUGAGAUUACCAUUAAGCUUUGUUGAAUUCUUUACCAAAACUGCUGUCAGGUUUCUUGGUUAUUUCACUCCACUUACUCCAGUUGCAUGGAAAUUAAAAUACGAAUAAAAUUAUGAGUUGUAUAAAAUAUAUUUGACAUGUAAUGGAAUAAAGAUUUUUAAAUAUUCGACACCGCGGUUUUCCAUGGUUCAAGCCCCAAGAAGGCUGGACAGUGGAAAGCUAUUUUAUCAGUCCAGGGCUAUUAAAGUCAAAUAAACCCAGCCAUUUUGGAGCCUAAUUUCAGCAGAUGCUGGAUCCUAUUUGUAAGCCAGAUUGAAUUUUGGAUGGCACAUUUAAUGUCUUCUCCUACCCAACGUCUCUUAAUUAAUUAGGUACUUGGUGGGGAUGUAGAAUUUAUUUCUCUUGGCGUCUUGUUUAGCUAUAGGAAGUUGGUUCUAGUAAAUGCAUGGAUUUGAAGAAUUGCCAUCUAGGCUUAUACAAAAUCUAGACAUGCAUGAAAUUGCAGCUCCAGGUCUGAUGAUUUGAAUGCAAAUAUAGCCUUUCACUUCGUAGGAAAGACCCUCAUUGUCUUCUUGUUCCCAUCCCCUUGGCAGAUUCCUUGUGGGAAAAGAGUGUUUAUCGAGGUUUCACUUGUGCUACCUCCUUACCUCCAACUCCGUAUUCAAUUCCCACAGUUCCAACAUCAAUAUUUUCGUUUCAAAUACAUACAAUAUAUAUUACUUUAUUUGUUUUCUCAUCCUAUACUUUUGGAGUUAUAAAAUGUCAUAUAUUCUACUUUAUGGACUUCAAAGGGUUCAACAAAUUGACAAGCUCUGGUUUCAAGUUUCUUUAAUGGAUUAAAGUCUCUGUUUAACACUGCAACUUUUCCUAAUUCUUUGAUAUGCACACAAACACAUAUCUGAACCACCUCUUUCGGAAGUCCUCUAGUCAUCGUGCUCCUGUCUAGUAAUCACACCAACACAUUAAGGAUAUCAUAAGAAAAUAGACACCAUGUGAGAAAUGGGAGGUCUGGAUGCCACUUGAAGGUUGAAGCAAAUUUAGCUGUUUGAGAAAAGAAUGUUAUGUUCUUCUAAGACAUAAAAAUCCAUCAUCAGAACAACCAGGACCAACAAAUUAAACUUUAAACAAAAGAUUGUCAAAAUUCAGGAUAUUCCAUUCAAUCGAUGAACUGAAUGCAGCUGUUUGCUAAGAGAAACUAGUAGACCAUUAUAUUCAACAGGAUAAAUAUAGCGAUCAAAGCAAGAUUCUGGUUUACCAACUGAUCAAUACUUGCCUCCAAAACGGUUUUUCAAUAAAGGUGGGCACCCAGAACUUGACAUGGCUGACAGCUUUUGCAAAUAAUCAGGAUGAGGGCCUUCACAUCCUUUUGGCAUGUCAAGUGGAGGUUUCCCAUGGCCAUGUUUCUGAGACUUGUGAGAUGCUUUCGACACUUGAUUGCUGUCCCGGUCAUUGUCACUUCCAUCCUGUAAGUUAAUGGUUUAGUGAUUUCAGACAACAAAAAGGAAUCAGGCCUUUCUGACCAUCCUCUAACAUGACCAAAAGUAGACUGAAGAAAGUGAAGAAAAACUAGGAAUACAAUCACAAGAAUGUCAUUUUCCCUAUACUAGAAUAACUUCCAAAUUAGUUAAAGAAUAUGCUUAUUUAGAAGGUGAGAAAUUAGACUGAUAUCACUAACACAAUGAGAUGUAGUUUCUUGAUAAAUAAUUAUUAUUUAUCAAAUAAAUGAAACAAAUAUGUCACUUAUGUACAAAUAUAUAGCUGAACAUCAUGCAACACUUCCUAAAUAGAAUUGUAUGAUAUAGAUGCAAGGAAUAUUAUAGAUUAUCAUAAGGCAACAACUUAUGGAUCAAGGUUUUAAAUCCCAUGGAACAAAGGUGUCUCGGUUUCUUCAUGCAACGGGUUGCCUCGCUGUCCCAUCCGUCCUAACAAAUUUUCCGAUCAUACAUCCUGGUGAAUAUCCUUCAUCUUUCUCUCUUUCUUCUUUCCUUUCUUUUUUUUUUUCUCUUUCUUUCUUCUUUCCUUUCUUUUCCUCCACCUUUCUUUCUUUACUUUCUUUUUUCUUUCUUUUUCAUCUCCCUUUCCUUUUUUCAUUUUUCUUCUUCUUUCCCUUCAUUUUUUCCUUUUCUUUAUCUUUCCUCUUUCUUCUUUACUCCCUACAUGAAUGGAUUUCGAAGUUCCGAGCCUAUCUCAAUCCCGUUUUCUCUAAAAAUGGGAUGGAACAGCCAGGACGCCCCCUAUCCCGCUGGAACGUAAAACUUUGUUAUGGAUAUCCUUAUUCCUUGUACACACAUGAAUGCACAUACAAACAAGCACACACACACACAUGUGUGAGUGCAUGUGACACAGCAUUUGUAAGGGAGCAUUCAUUUCACCAACGUAUAUGGUUCCGGUAUACCCUAUUUGUAGUAUGACCUUAUAAGACCAUACACAUGUGUACAUGCAUUCAUCUCAAACAAUAAUAAAGAUCUUUUCUUUGAGAAAAAAGAUAUUUAAUCAUAUCCCCAAUCCAAAAUCAGAACCCAAGGCCUUUCCUAUAUUGCAUCAGUGACCAAAGAACAGUCAUCAGUUCUCUGAUUAGAAUUCUUUGCAGUUAUCUAUGUAUCUAAUUCCAAAUCAUUUACUAUUGUUUUUUUCAAAUUGGUUCCUAGUUAUGGCAAAUGAGCUAAUGAUAACUGGUCCUCUCCUACUAUCAACUUCACUAGCCUAUCACCCAAUUUUUAUUACGGCGUUAUUAUUUAUUUAUUCACCCAUUAUUGAUCCAAAUUAAUUAAUAAUGUCAUAUGUUUGAAUUUAACAAUGAACAAAACAGUGAAGUGGAAUUCAUGAAGCCAAACUCAUUGUUAUGGUAAGACUUGUUGGCUAUAGAUAUGGUUAUGCUUAAUCAAGGUUCGUGGACUCAGGACCGAAAUCCAUACUGGUUGUCGGUCGAUAUAGUACGGUACUAUAUCAUAUCUGACUGUACCGUAUCAUGUCAAUAAUAAAAAAAAUCAAAAAAAAUUCCCACCCACUGGCACUAUAAAAAAAAGAAAUCGGACCAAACCAGACCGAACCGGCCCCGAACCGGACCAAACCGUCUGGUAUCGGAUGGUUCGGGCCGAUACCGUACCGAACCGACUUGUUUAAUCCGAUUCAGCUCAUUUUCUGAAAAUCCAGCCUAAAUCAGACCGGCUCUCGACUAGCACGGUUCAGUACAAGGUGUACCGGCUCAUUCGGGCCGAUACAGAAUACCAUGUGCUUAACAAAUUCAUAUUUAACCAAUGCCCACACAUAUUCAUAAAUUAUAUUUUAUUUAUUUCUUGUUUGCUCACCCAUUUUUUGGAUCACCAUCAUCUUCCAAUUAUCUAAGCUAACCUCAGUAUCUCUUUGGUACUACACCUAUUUCAUUUGUGAAUAUGAAAUUUAGUACAUAAUUACUUCCAAGUAAUGUUCACCAUCUCGAAACCGAACUUGUAUCAGUAGCAUCUUAUUACAAUGUCGGUAUGUGAUUCGGUAUGAUAUGAGGCAACAUACGAAUGUUGGUAAGAUAUGAGACACCAUAUCAAUUUGUUACUGAUACGAUACGUUACAGCCCAUAUGAGGGGGUAUAGCAAACCAUGCUUCCAAGUGUAAGCUUCUAGGUAUUACCAUGUUGGAUUCAUCAAGACACCCGUACCCUUGACAAACAUCACCUGUCUAGCUUCCACUGCUUCAACAAUGGUAGUAACUCAAAAGUUAUAUUAGUGAAUAAGGAUGUAUGUUGUCUUAAUUUUGAUAACCAAGCAUAGAAUUUAGAGUCUUUAGGAGAAAAUAAACACAAACUAUCCCUAACGAAAGCUCUUCUCCUUUAGGCAAUAUCUAAAAAUAAAGUCUCAAUAUUCCAGCAUGUUGCAAUCUUUUUCUGUCCGUAAGGAUCCCACCAGAGCACUUUCUACUUCUAAUAGGCCAUGAACUAGAUCAGAAUCAUUCUCAACGAAUCCAUAAGAAGUGAUCCAAGUUUUUUCAUCGGAUCCGGGUGAAGACCAAAGAUUUUGAGCUACCGAUCCGACAGAACAACUCGAAAGAUAAAAAAGUAUCAUUAAUUUCUUCAUGCUCGUUCCAAGUUCGAAGUACCAUUUGUACAAAUAAGAAUGCCCUUCCUUACAUGAUUUCUUCUUCAUAUAGAUAGAUAUAGGAUCUAUAGGACAAUUACUUAGAAGUACAUUUUGUGCAACAGCCCUUCCUAUCUGAUAGAAAAGGAUCCCUGAUCCUGAUCCUAUCUUACCUAGGAUCGCAAAUCCCAAGUUUAUCUAUGAAGAGCUGAUCUAAUUGUAUUAGUUUUUAUAAUUGAUUUCUUCUGUGUAAUACUAAUUGAUAGGGCCUCAUUGAUAAGUACUACAAGAUCUCGUGCAUUGGAACCCAUGGUUAUGGACCCGAAUACGUAAAACAAAAUAAUUUUUAGAAAGGCCAUAAAGAGGAAAAAAAUGAUGUAGAAUAUAUUCACACGAUACCAACUAUAGAGGUUUGGAUAUCAUAGCGAGUCACCAGAGCACCAAGAAAUUAAGCUAGUAAAGAAUUCUUCUCUCAUAACAUACAAAGGCGACUGUACAAAAGAUUCUAUGCAAUAAGCAAGCAAAAAAUAGAAGUUGCAUGUAUGAAACUCAUGUACAAACUCUACAACAACAUUUCCCAAACUAACCUGAGUUGGGCAUUUUGGCCUGUAACAAACCAACAAAAAGUUGGGAAAGUUUGGUUCAUCGGUUCGGUUCGAUUUAUAAAUCCCCUCUCCCCUCCCGCUUCAAUGGUUCUAGAGCUUUCAUGGGCUCUCCACAAUCUCGCUUGCUUGCUUUAUUUCUUCACUCAAAUGCUCACUCACUCACUCUCCCUCUCCUCCUCAGUCCUCCCCCUCCCCCUUCAAUGCAGCGAUGCCAACUAACACUAUCACCCUCGAGGUAAGCCUCCCCCGUCCCCCUCCCUCCUCCCUCUCCCCCCUCCUCUCUGUAAGCCCCCCUUCUCUCUCCCCCUCCCUCCCUCCUCACUCUCUCUCUUCCUCCCUCUCCCUGCCCAUGCUUUGGUAUGCCCCAACUUGAUAUGAUAUAUACCACAACAGUAUCGAACCCAGGUGCUGGCUGAUACAAGCAUUGGUACCAGUCUGGCAAACCUUGCUCGGCAACAUAAAAUCUACAUACGAAACUAUUCAAAGAAUGGAUGAAUAUACAGAUGAUUAGGGCAGAAAGUCCAGAUUGGAUAAUAUACAUCCAUAUCUAUUUCCAUCUCAAAAUAUAUCCUGAUACAAAUGCAAGUUAAGACCAUUUAAUUAAUAUCUGUAGUCCUUAUCUAUGCCUGCUAAAUCAAAUCAGGUAUGGAUCCGGAUGUGAAUAUAUACACACAUAUCCUAUCUACACUUUAUCUGCUAUCUGCUCUACUUCUUAAUCUCAUAUGAACCUCAUAAACUCCAGAAUGGGUUCAAUAUGUGGCAGCAUCAGAAUUCUUCAAUUAAAUUUCCAUGCAGUGACAUCUUUAACUUGGUGGUUGCAUCCUUGAACUACUAAUAGUGAGUAUCUUGCUGAAGUCAUUAUGAUCUACCGGAAGGAUCAUGGGAUUGGGUGGAUGCACUUAGCUCACAGAGUUACUAGCAAAUAUGUCACCAUUAAGUUGAACCAUUCUACUAUGGUGAAGGUUCCUGACAAGCAAUAUACACCAAGCCAUCAAUCACCCAACUAAGAGAACUUUAAAAGGCUCAUAAGACUUCGCAUUUUUACAUUCUCCAAAUCUCAAUGUGGUCAUGGAAAAUGCACUGAAAACAGGUCCAUCAUAUAGCAUUUACCAUUUGACAAGAACAGGUACACUGGCAUACAUAGUUUAUAUUUUUGUUUAAUUAGUCAAAAGAAGAUUUUGAGCUACUCUUCUUCUAAGUGAAAGAUAACAAUAACAAUUUGCUUGUUAAAUAUAAUAUAAAAUAUAAGUUAGCAAAGGCAUCAUAGGCAUUAUAGCAAAAUAGCAGAAAUAAGAGGUGAGUUUUGAUUCUCACCAGAAUGUUGUAAUGGUCAGACAUCAUUGCAACUAAUCCAGCUGCAGUAGCUGUGCCUUCUGGAAGAGACAGGUAUGCCUGAAAUUGCACAGUUAUGUUUAGAUUAUCAAAUUCAAAGAAAAAAUCUGUGCUUACUACAGGUUCAUAUUACGUGAAGCCCACACACAAUGCAAAAGAUGAUAACAUAAGCAAUAUAUGACACAGUUCUAGACAAGCAGUUCCAACCAGCUGCAGCAGGACUGGCCAAACUGCAUCCAUCAAUCAACAGAUCAUCUCACCAGCCAGUAACAACCCAAAACACAUCAUAACCAGACAUGCAUAUUUUUCAGGUCUUAAUCAUCAAAAAUAUCCAUGACUAAAAAAAUUCUUCUCGAGCAAUUAACCUUCUAAAUUGGAAAUUUUGGGUUGUUGGCACCAUCAAGAUAAUGAACUGGAUCUGGCUGACUGAUUACCACUUUGACAAAAUCAUUUUAGGGAAGAUUAUGGAUUUUGACAACAUCCAUCUAUAUUAAAUCAGCAUAAUUGCCACAUUGAUAAUGGAGAGUAGUGCACCUUGAAGCAAGUGCAUGAAACAGGCACUCCAACAUGCGCAUGGUGCAGGAGACUGGCAGGAAUUUUUAAAUUUUAGACAGGCAAAAUGCAUGGAAAAAUAUUUUCAGAAGUUUCUUAGUUGUCUUUCUUAAAGAGACCAUUUUCACUCAUUUCCAAGAAUUUCCUUUCUCCUAUAAUCCCCUUGUGGAAGGAAACCAUAUAACAUAACCAUACUAUAACCAUCCAGCCUUUUUCCCAACUACUUGGGGUCAGCUUUAUGGAUCCUUGUUCACCAAGUAAAAAAUUUAGUGGUGAAAAAAUGAUACCAUAGGAUCACCAAAACCAUAAGGUCAAACAGAAAAUUGUGUUCUCAAAUCUCAAUGACUGGAUUAUCUUGUGGCCCUUAAUGUAGAAUAAAAACAUUGCAUCAACUGCAUCAGAGUCAUGAGAAUUUCAAGAUGAUAAGAAUAAUCGCAAUUCUGCCAAUUUGAGGCGGACUAACAAGAACCAUGCCUCAAUUCAAAUAAGAAAUGCCUAUGAUAGGAAAGAGCAUAGAAGGCUGAUACAUUACAAAGAAAAGUGGCAAACUAAUAGGCUUAAUUUGAACCAAGUUACUACAGAACAGGAUAAGAGAAAUAUUAGCAACCAUUACAUACUUAUAUGAAACAACAUGAACAAUCAUGAGACAUGAUUUUGGAAUACACUAUUACCCUAAGCGAUCAACAAUAGAUAUGCUAGUAAAAGCUACAUUAAAGCUAAAAUCAGAGGAUCAGACAUUAAGGAACCUUAACCAUAUCUUCCACCAUAAUGCAAAUGCAAUGCUUAUAUAACAUUAAUUUCAUCAGAUUAACUAAAGAAGUGCCUGGAGAAUUUAAAGGUAGUUGACAAAAACAUAAACUAUUUAGGUGUCAAUAGGUGAGAUCCAGACUUAACCACAACAAUUUUUUUUUUAAAAAAAAAGACCAAGGAAAAGAAUUCACAUAGUUCCUGCUUCAAGGAACAGCUACCAGGAAAAUAGUGAAAGGACUUUGAAAUGUGCUUAAAAAAUAUAUAAGAGGAUGCUAAUAGUAGACAAAAGGGGAAUCUGCAAACAAAAAAAGAUGAGAUCAGCAGUAGACCAUAUAAUGUAUCAAACAAUAGAAAACCAUAUAAUUUAGUAUUUAUGUGUGUUUAAUGAUGUGUAGAUUAUACUCCAAAAAGAAUGAAUGGAAGUGCACUGACUCAGAAGUUAGAUAAAAAAUCCACAUAGGAUGGGAAGGCUUACCGUAUAGGACUAAUAGUAAACAUAAAUAAUAGGGAAAAAAACAUCUCUUAUAUUACAUACCUAGCUCAAAAUCUAAUCUAAAGCUGCACGGUGUUACAUAAUGCUCAGACAAACAAAAUGUGCUAUUUGAAAGAGUUGAGAGAGGUUGGUGACAAUGUAUGCAACCCUUAAUAGGUAUAAAUGGAGAAGAAUGGAAAAGGGAGUUUCUUUUUUGGGGGUGUAUAUAUGUUAGCUUAUGCAAAUUCAAAUCUCAUUGGUUCAAAAUACAUGACAAGCCAUCCACUACAAAAAGAAAAAAAUGCUGAUCACAAUCCACAAAACACAAAAUACAUAAAAAUCCAGACUCUAAAGUUCUGGAUGAUUCUUGCCCAAACAUCUAGUAAAUAAGAAUUGGACGGUAACAAAAGAUAAGGGCAUCAGCUUGAUGGUGGCCAUAUUAAAUCAGUAAUUAACAUGCCUGAUCAUGAUGUAUACAGAAAGAAACACAUAUAUAACAAAAAUUUCAGCAGACAUAAGUAUUUUCAGACCAUAUACUAUAUCAAAAACCUUUUAACAGGAUUGUUAUCCAUGACCACUCAAGAGGGAAAGAAACCUCAAAUUUUGACUUCCAGCUACAGGCAUUCAGAUAUUAUAUCUCAUGAUUAUCAAUGUCAAUUUUAAAUUUAAGUGACUUAUUAUGUAUUUGUCAGCGAAGAAACCUCCAAAUUGUUUGAUUUUUGGCUUCUCAAUUUCUUGGAAUUGUAAAUCAUAAUAGCCAUAUAUUCAAAUUUAGGUGGAUGGCAUGUACUCCGCUGAAUUUAUAACAAGAGAUAACAUGAGACAUUAAGGUGUGAAAACAUUUUGCAGCCAGACAGAGCCCUUGUUAAAUUAGUAUUAAAAUCCAAUCAAGGCAGAUUUAGCCAAGACAGGGACCUAUCAUGAAGCCAACUGCUAAGGAUAGAAGACAAGCUCCUAUGACAGCAGCAUCAAUGCAAGUGUUGACUAGUUGCAUGUGCUUGUGUGUGUGUGUGUGUGUGUUUCAGUGUGGUUUUAAAUUUGUGUGAUGCCUUCCAUAUUUUUUGUUUUCUUUUCAAAGUGCGAGUUGAAAUGCUUGCAAAGAACUCAAGGUUCAUAAUAUAUAAAAAACAAAAAAAGUUUUGCACAGGCAAUUCAUCAUCACCAGAAGCAAAUAGAAUGGGAGGCUUUAAACCCAGGAGAACUAUACAUGAUGCAAUCAAAAUUCAGCAGGCAUGCUUACCCUAUUCAUAUUAUAAAGGGCCUCCACCAUAUCAAUGGAUCUGUUACGUAUAACUGCAGCCACCUGUAAAUCCAAAUAAAUAAAAGCAUGAGAAAUAAUUGAGAGCCAACAAAAGCAACCUCAUACCAUAGAAGGAUUACAGGAGGGAGAGAGAAAAAAAAGGGGGCAACUGUCUACCUUCAUUAAAGAGUAAAAAUGUCUUAAAACGUUGCAAAUCCACACAAACACUUGCAAGCACAAGCAUGUAAUCAGAAUAUUCUAUUAAAAAUUAUCUUUUGACUUAGCCCGGUAUAUCCUAUUUUAGUCUAACAUCAAAACAAGAUUGGGUAAAAUGGUUUACUUUUUUCCAAUCUUUUCCAUAUGUGCGAUAUGCUUCAUAAAAGCGUUUCAAAUCUUCCUUGCUCCAUCGAGAACCCAGCACAUCUGACGAUUUCCUCUUCUGCACAAAUAAGCUCUGUGUCAUAGGUCCAGAAAAUGACAUGAGGCAUGCUGCACUAGUACACGUGUACAAUUGCAUGAUGCAGGAAAAACCUGCAAUUCAUAUCCAACAAUUUGAAGCAUGUCAAAAUUUUGAAACAGGGGCACCUGCGGCUUAUCUCCAACACAGUUGCACAGAUGGAUGGUGUUAGUGGGGAUGAUUUACAUAAACUAGCAAAUGAAAAUAGCCUCAUUUGCAUCAAUUAGUGCAAAUGUGAUAGCAGUUAACAUCCUUCUCAAAAAUUAACAAAAAGAAAAAAAAUGUCGCAGAAGGCUAUACACAAUCUAACCUCAGAAACUUUAGAAGUAGAUGACCGAAGAAGUAAUACCUUCAACCCUUUUCAUUCUUAAAAUAACCAAGUACAAGCCAAUAAACUACUCUAUGUAGAAAGGUCAGUUCAACCAAAGCAGUUGAGAGAAAUUGUCUUUCCAGCAAAAUAGCCACAUAAUGUAUAGCAGCAGUUCAAACCAAGAGCAUGACAUACCAUACAAAGAAAAGACACAGACACAGGCAUUUCAAAUGUACACAGCAUGAUGCAGAAAAGAAUUGAGAAAACACUAAGUUCUUACCACAAAAAAUAAGGUUCAUCUAUCUUAAUCAACUUCUAGUUUUUUUUUUUCUUUUUUUUUUUUUGCUUCAUCUGAAAGAAUCUAGGACAUACUAUAUUUCUGUCUUGCUUGUGUAAUAGCAGUUGAUUAAAUUUACAUGUUUAUAAGUCUCUUUAGGCAGCUCAUUUUAUUAUUCCCUACAUUACAAACACAUGCAAUUAAUCAGAACCCAUUAUCCCAUGCAAUACAAAUGUUGUACCGCAGAAAAAGAUGUCAUGGUUUCUAUUUAUUGCAUACAAGCAGACUGUGAAAAAUAACAUCUGCAACAUUGCAGGGUUUAAAAAUGAUAGGGCAUUGGCCUUCAAUAAUGUGAUAUAGUCUGAAAUGUUCAUUCUUGAAAAUGAGAAUUAAAGUUUUUUUUUUUUUUUUUUUUUUUGAAUUAUCAUCAUCAUGGUCCCCAUAAAAUGAUCCUUCUACCUCGUUCUUUGCAUGCAUGUGUUACCUUGACGUGGGUCAACAAGUAUUUAACUAGAUACAGAACGGCCAAUAAAAAAACAUGGAAAAGAUUAAUAAUAUCUCACCAAUCUAACAAGAUAAAGGAUAAUAAUAGAUGUUCUUUCCUUUUAUUUAAUAAAUAAUAACAAAAUCGAAAGCUGAAUCCACCUGACAUCAUGCAAUUCUUUAAAAUUGAUAGAUUUAUUCAAUAAAAUAAACUGAUUAAUUUGAAUGGUUAGUUUGAUUAAGGUGGGUCAUAUACUCAUAUCAAAUGUAUAAAAUUAAAGAGAAGAAACAAUAUGCAAAUACUCUAACAUCCAGUUUGUUAGGCUAGCAAGACUACUGCCAAACCGAAGGAUCAAAUAAUUGUACAUCUUCCCUACAUAGAAGUGGAACGCUUCAAUCUAUAUGAAACAAAGGAAACCUCCGGCACAAAUUUUACAAAGUAAAAUUGCAUUGAUUUUUUUAACAAAUAUACAAUGCUUAUUUUUCAAC